UGCUUAAAUCAUCCCUCAACAGCAGUUCAACAACAUCCUUCUUUUCUGUUUCCCUGCCAUAGACGUUGGCUCCAGUCACUAAAGAGGUUGUCUCUAGCCUUUGACUGGCUUUUUUGGACCCUCCAGCUGAACUUACGUUCAAACCCAGCGAGUCUUUCUGUGUCACAAUUUCUUGAAAUCUGUCGUUGAUCUCUUUGAUUUUGGACAUCAAGGCAUAAUCGAACUGAAUCGAUUGUGGAGUAAAAGUGGUGCAGCAAGUAGGAAUGAGCUUCCGAAACUUACUUUUUCUUGUACGACUGCUACUGGGUUGAUCCUGAGCCGCAGCUGGAUCUCCAUUUCCAAGUGUUAGAGCAGCUCAUUAUGCUGAACAGAAGAAGGUGAAGACUAAGAUGAAGAAAAUACAGAGCAAGUUACAGGGCAAGUGUGUCAGCAGUGCCAGCUCAGCUAACAGCUCAGCAGAUUAGUUAAAGAUGGUUGUAAGCAUGAUGUGCAUUGUACUGAAGUUAGUUAGCUUUGAUUACAGUUAGUCUUUGGAUUAGUUAAAUGAAGUUACCGUGAUUGCAUUGUAUAUAAACAGGUGAUGCUUUGUAAUUAAAUGUUAAGCAAAAUAAAAAUCAAAGUUUGUUAAGGAAAUAUCUCCAGAAUUAUCAAUUCAUUUUCUUAGUAACCAAACAACUUUAUUUCAUUUUCUUUCAUGGUAUCAGAGCCACUCUAAUGGCUAGUUCCAGUAGCACAACAUCAAAUCCAAAUCAAAUGAAUCUAAAUCAAUCAUCACAUAUCUCCUUUUCGUUCAGCACUCCAGUCAAAUUGGAUCGAUCAAAUUUCAUGAUUUGGCGAAAGCAAGUUCUUACUACAAUAAGAGGAAAUCGUCUUGAAGAUUUUAUUUCUGGAAAUCAAAUCAUACCAGAACAAUACAUUUCUAAUACAGUAGCUGAUGGAUCAGUACAGAGAAUCACGAAUCCAGCUUACAUCAACUGGCGAGCUCAGGAUCAAACUUUGCUUGGCUGGAUUUUGUCAUCCAUAAGUGAAGGUAUCUUAAAUACUGUUCUUAAUUGCGAAAAUUCAUUUGAAGCAUGGAGAUCAAUUGAAAAACAAUUUGGAGUACAAUCUGAGGCUAGAGUUAUGCAAUUGAGGUAUGAAAUGAAUGUCCUUAGAAAAGAGAAUAUGUCUGUUGAGGAGUACUGUUUAAAAGUAAAAGCUGUUGCUGAUAAACUUGCUUGUGCUGGUAGCCCUGUGUCUGAGAAAGAUCUGCUAAUGCAAAUUUUGAAUGGCCUAGGACCUGGAUUUCUAGAUCUUGCUUCAAUAAUUACUGCUAAUAGAAUGUCGUAUGAUGAUGCUUAUGCAUUACUCUUAACACAUGAGGCAAGAAUGGAACAAAAUCAUAAUACUAAAGAUCUUUUUAGUGCAAACUAUGGGAUGAUGAAUGCUAACUACUCUCAGUUUAGAGGAAAUAAUAAGAGAGGUGGUUAUAGUGGAUAUCAAGGGCAAUUUAAUGCUGGAAAUAGGAAUCAAAAUGGAGGAAGAGGAAUGUUUUUCAAUUCAUUCUCAAGAGGUUUUCCAGCUGGUGGAUAUACUGGUAAUGCUGGUGGCAGAGGACAGCAAAUGAAUGCAUAUGCUUAUAAACCUGUGCUUAACAACAGGCAUAAUUUCAAUGUGAAUCAUGGCUCAACUUCAAUGCCCAAUGGAAAUGGAUCUGAUGAUAAUGUGCUUAUCUGUCAAAUCUGUCAUAAAGCUGGACAUGCAGCUGAUGUUUGUUGGCACAGACACUUUGAUGGCUAUGCUCCUCAACCCAGACAAUUUGGAAGGGGCAGAGGGCAUAAGUCUGCUUAUAUGGCUAACUUUGAUCCACAAAUUGGCUUUACUUCACAAUUUGAAGAUUCGUUUGCUACAGAAUAUCCUGGUUAUCAUGGGUACCAUCCACCUGAUAUGAAUGCAUCAGUUGCAUCAGUAAGUCAUCACUCAUCUGAUAUGCAUUCUGUACCUGGAGCAGCUUAUAUUGCAAAUUUUGAAGGACCAGCUGAUGAAGGGUGGUAUCUUGAUAGUGGAGCUACGCAUCACAUCACUAACAGCAUGGCCAAUAUGCAUAUCAGAGAUCAAUUCACUGGAGCAGAUCAGCUCAUUAUUGGAAAUGGACAAGGUUUGCCCAUAACUCAUGUUGGUGAUGCAUCCUUUCUCUUUAAAAGUUCCAAUUCUACACACAAACACUCACCUAUAGUACUUAAAGAUAUUCUGUUGGUGCCUUCCAUUACCAAAAAUUUGUUAAGUAUCUCGAAGCUUACCACUGAUAACAAUUUGUCUGUUGAAUUUCUUGGAAAUGUUUGUUUUGUGAAGGAUUCUCUGAGGGGACAGGUACUUCUGCAGGGUCUUGCUGAGAAAGGGUUAUACAGGCUGUUAUUGAAAUCAUCAUCAUCCUCUCAGUUAUCAUCAUCUUUUCUUUCUCACAUGUGUUCCAAUAAACCUUUGUCUAUGCUUUCUUGUUGUUGUUUCAAUUCUGUUCCUUCUGGAGUUGUUACAGAAUCUCAGAAAUCAUGUAAUCAAACUGAUGAUUCAUCUUGUAAAACUUCAGUUAAUAAAGCUAUUUUGCUUCAUAGAAAGUUUGGUCAUCCCAAUCAUCAAAUAUUAACUCAUAUACUCAAAACAGCAAAAUCUAUUCAUUUACCUGCAUAUCAAAAGCAACAAAUGCAUCAGUACAUCUGUGAGGCCUGUCAAAUGGGCAAAACACAUAAACUUCAUUUUCCAAUUACUGAAACCAAAACCUCCAAAACUCUAGAACUUAUACACACUGAUUUAUGGGGUCCUUCUCCCAUUAUUUCUAGAGAUGGUUAUCAGUAUUAUAUAAGUUUUGUAGAUGACUACAGCAGGUAUACAUGGAUUUAUCCUUUGAAGCUAAAGUCUGAGGCAUUAGAAGUCUUUAAGCUCUUUAAACUGCAGGUUGAAAAUCAGUUUAGCACAACCAUUAAGAUGAUGCAAUCUGAUUGGGGGGGAGAGUAUAGACCAUUCACUGAGUUUUUAAGCCAAUUUGGUAUCAUCUUUAGACAUCCUUGUCCUCACACUCAUCAUCAAAAUGGGUUAGUUGAAAGGAAGCAUAGACAUAUUGUUGAAUUGGGUCUGACUCUCUUAGCUCAAGCUCAACUUCCCUUUAAGUUCUGGUGGGAUGCAUUUCAUACUGCUGUAUAUCACAUCAAUAGACUUCCAUCUCCUGUUUUGCACCUUUUAACCCCAUAUGAAAAGACAUUCAAACACAAACCUGAUUAUGAUUUUCUCAGAUGUUUUGGGUGUUCUUGUUAUCCUUACUUGAGAGAUUACAAUAAACAUAAAUUUGCCUACCAUUCUAGUAAGUGCAUAUUCAUUGGUUACAGUCCUUCACAUAAGGGCUACAAAUGUUUACACCCUUCAGGUCGAGUCUAUGUGGCAAGACAUGUUACCUUUGAUGAAUCAGUUUUUCCUUAUGCCACUGAGUUUGUUUUUCAUAGUCAUGCUAAAACUGAUUCUCAAAUUUCUCAUUCCCAUACACCACAGCAAAUCCAUCAUAUCUCUUCUUUGCCUGUCAAUAACAGCACUGGUAAUCUGAACUCUGUAAGAUCUGGAAGCAGCAGUUCAAGUCACUCAGAUCAUCUAGAACAGACAGCAACUGAUCAGAAUUCACAACAAGCUACCAUAAAUGACAGGUCACCUUUUCAUACAUGUCCAACAAUUGUUGAAUCUAUACAAAAUAUUCCAAAACCUCCACAUCACUCUUUGCCUAUACAAAGUCACCAUCCUAGCAACACUUCUUUCUAUCCAUAUACACAACCAAAUACACAUCAGAUGAUAACCAGAAGUAAAGCAGGGAUUUUCAAACCCAAAAUUUAUACUGCUGUGCUUACUCACAAGGAACCAGAUACUGUGCAAGAAGCAUUAAAUGAUUCAAAGUGGCUACAAGCUAUGAGGGAGGAAUAUGAUGCCUUGAUUAAGAAUAAUACAUGGACAUUGGUUCCAAGACAAGCUGAUCAGCAUGUGGUUGGAAAUAAAUGGGUGUAUAGAAUCAAAUAUAAUACAGAUGGAAGUGUAGCUAAGUAUAAAGCUAGACUUGUUGCAAAGGGUUUUCAGCAAGUGGCAGGGAUUAACUAUUUUGAGACAUUUAGCCCAGUUGUGAAGUCAGCUACAGUUAGAGUAAUACUUAGCUUGGCAGUGAUGAAUCAGUGGAGAAUAAGGCAAGUGGAUGUCAAUAAUGCCUUUUUGAAUGGAGAGCUAACAGAAGAAGUUUUCAUGUCUCAACCUGAUGGCUUUAUUGAUGCUCAGAGAUCUGAUUUUGUAUGCAAAUUACACAAGUCUCUGUAUGGGCUCAAGCAAGCUCCUAGAGCCUGGUAUGACAAGCUUAAAGGAUGCUUAAUAAGCUGGGGUUUCACUACUACUAGUUCUGACACCUCAUUGUUUGUUAGGAAGAUCAAGACAUCUAUGAUCAUAGUUCUUAUAUAUGUUGAUGACAUACUGAUCACAGGUCCAAAUACUGAGGAGCUGGAAGGUUUUAUAACUGAAUUCAGCAAAACUUUUGCUCUAAAGGAUCUGGGAGUGUUAUCCUAUUUCCUUGGAAUUGAGGUAUUAUAUGAUGCAGAUUGUAUGUACUUGUCACAGAGAAAGUAUAUCAGAGAUUUGUUAUUGAAGGUAGAAAUGACUGAAUGUAAGGGCAUUGAUACACCCAUGAGUACUGGCUCUAAACUGCAAAAGAUAGUUCAGGGGGAACUUGGAUACUAUCUUGAAGAUCCAACUCAUUAUAGGAGCAUAGUUGGAGGAAUGCAGUACCUGAUACUUACCAGACCUGAGAUUGCGUUUGCUGUAAACAAGCUCAGUCAGUAUGUAGCUGCACCAACACUACAACAUCUAAUGGCAUGCAAGAGAGUUCUAAGAUAUCUAAAGGCAACUCAAGAUUAUGGUUUAAAAUUUUUCAGAGAAGGAAGCUUAACACUCACUAGUUUUACUGAUGCAGAUUGGGCAUGUGACUUAGAUGAUAGGAAAUCAAUUGGUGCUUAUUGCAUUUAUUUAGGCAAUAAUUUGAUAUCCUGGUCUUCUAAGAAACAAUCAGUGAUAACCAGAUCAAGUGCCGAGAGUGAGUAUAGAGCUUUGGCAUCAGUGAGUGCAGAGCUGACAUGGUUACAAUCCCUAUUUUCUGAGUUGGGAUUAAGUUGCAUAGAAAAGCCAAUCAUAUGGUGUGACAACAUUAGUGCCACUGAACUAGCAAAGAAUCCUGUGUAUCAUUCAAGAACAAAGCAUAUCGAAAUUGAUAUGCACUUCAUUAGGAAUAAGGUUCUUGCUGGUGAGUUGAUUAUUCACUAUGUACCAAGUGAAGAACAGAUUGCAGACAUAAUGACCAAGCCUCUUUCAUUUGUAAGGUUUAACUACUUGAGGUCCAAACUCAAUGUCCAUCUUUGUCCUCUGAGUUUGAGGGGGGCUGUUAGAGCAGCUCAUUAUGCUGAACAGAAGAAGGUGAAGACUAAGAUGAAGAAAAUACAGAGCAAGUUACAGGGCAAGUGUGUCAGCAGUGCCAGCUCAGCUAACAGCUCAGCAGAUUAGUUAAAGAUGGUUGUAAGCAUGAUGUGCAUUGUACUGAAGUUAGUUAGCUUUGAUUACAGUUAGUCUUUGGAUUAGUUAAAUGAAGUUACCGUGAUUGCAUUGUAUAUAAACAGGUGAUGCUUUGUAAUUAAAUGUUAAGCAAAAUAAAAAUCAAAGUUUGUUAAGGAAAUAUCUCCAGAAUUAUCAAUUCAUUUUCUUAGUAACCAAACAACUUUAUUUCAUUUUCUUUCACCAAGCAGCAACUUCCUCCGGAAAGCCUCAGUUUGAAACUCAUCCAACAAGUCUUCAACAUCAUAAGCCAAGUUCUGAAGCUUGCCAAGCCACUUCUUCACAAAUUGAUUAGUCGUCUUCUUCUCCUCAGCAUCAUCAAGCACCGCCUUGAUCAUCUCCAACAUAUUCGCCCACUUCAUCAGAUCGGCCUUGAUUUGCUCUUGGCGUGCAAAAAACAGAAUCCCCUCUGAAGCUAACUUAUUGACCAGCAAAUCAACGGACGCCGUAAGGAUUGCCUCUCCGAUGAUUGACAUUUUUUUUUCUUUCUUCUCUCUUUUUUUUUUGCAAAGAAAGAAGCAGAAUUUUGAGUUUUGAAAAGCAAAAUGAGAAAAUUGAACAGAAAGUGUGAAGGGUCAAGCAAAAUGCAGGUAACAAGUCUUCCACUUGUUGUUUAUUCCAGAACAGAGCCCACCACCCAUUAAUAAUUUAGCAAUUCACCAAUCACCAGUCACCACCACUCGUUGCCAGAUUCAAUAAAUAUAAAAUCGCAAGUUGAUAUUUGUAGGGUCAAGCAACAUUAAUCCAGUGUCCGGGUAAAUGCUGAAUAAAGAGGAAAAUGGAAUGUAUCUACUACGAACCUUCGCUUUACAAGUCUUCAAAGUCAUAAACUAUCAAAACGUUUCUCUCUCUGUCUUCAAAGUCCUACAAUAUUUUUAUAAUCACACAAUGAUAAUUUCAAUUAUCAUGUUAUAUUAAUGUCAUGUCAAAAUAAAUUAUAAUAAAAUUUUAACCGAAUAUAGUAAAUUCCACUUAUUUAUUAAAUAUAUAUAUUUAAUAAAAUAAUAACACAAUUAAUAUGUUAUCAAUCAAAUAAAAACUCUAAUGUGAAAACAAAAAUUGUCCCACCACCAACAAUUUAGCAAGCUUCAGUGCUUCACUUUAUUACACUAAAGUGAAAACAAAAUCGGCCCCCACCACCAUCAAUAAUUAAGCAAGCUUCAAAUGCUUGUGCUUGUCUGCUUGACGAACUGCGCAUGGGUGGACCAAGCAUCAUUGAGCAAUUCGAAAAAAAUUUAAAAAAAAAAAUCAGUGCCCAGCAAAGAGAAUCCAUUGAUACGCACAUAUAUCUAACAUUUAGAAAAUGGAAGUAGAAAUUGGAAUUCACUUUAUGGCUCGAUUGCAAUACACGUAUCAACAUUUAAUUAGAGUUCACACACACACUAAUUUUAAUUGAGAGAUAAAUUAAACAUAAAUACUUAGAUGUUUCUAAAUGAUUGAAUAAUGAUAUUAUUGGCAUUUAUAAAUUUCUAAGAUGCGAUAAUUAUGUGGGGAACAUAUAUUUAUGGUCAUAGAAAAUGGCGGUAAAAAUGGUACAAAUCUAAUAUAAUAAAAAAGUAUAAACUACAGUAAAUUAAUAUUUACUUCAAAGUAUGUUAUAAAUAUCACUUUUCUUAUUACGUUAUUUUUCUCCCACCGAUUGAGUUAUGCAUAUGGAUUAAGCAAAUAUGCAUCUAGGAUACAAUAAAGUGCUGAUUUGUUUGUUUACAUUGUACAUCAAUGAAAGCAAACAUGAAUAUUCUUGAAUGUUAUAAGCCUACCGAGAAUUAAUAUAUUAUUCUUACAAAAAAAUAAUAUAUUGGAUAUUUGAUGCAUAAAAAAUAAAUGUUAAUUGAUGAAAUUCUUUUGAAGAAAGAGGACUACAAAAAAAUGGUGUAGGAUCAUUUUAUUCAUGUCUUAUUGACAUUUAUUUUUAUGAAUGUGAGGGUAUUUUGGUAAUUUUAUGGACACAAGAGUUGUGUGUUGUGGAUAGAUGUUCGUUUUGAACUACAUUGCGUGCAGUUAGUCGUAUUUCACAUUUAUGAAAAGUAACUAUGUUGUUUCCUUGAUUAGGAGAAACUGCGAGUGAGAACCAAACCGCGAAUAUGAACGAUAGUCGAGUUUAAGCAUUGUCACUACGAAUGAAAUAUGCAAACUCAUUUUCAUAUUUUAUUAUGAUUUUAGAGUGUAGUAAACCAUAUUUGCAAAAUAAGAUUUUAAUGCUCUAAUUUAAUGAUUUCUAGAAUAAAUUUGAUUUACAUAUUGGUACAUUAUUAAAAUUUUAUGAAUAUUGGUUUUCCCCAUCGAUUUUGAGUAAAGUAUAAUAGUAUUUUAAAGAAAAUAAAAGUAAAUUUAAAGUAUGUUAAUGGAAAGAAAAGAAGACUUAAUGUACGAUUAAAAAUGUGUUAUGUAUGUGCAUAAAAAUUUGUUAUUAAAAAUCAUGAGGCAAAACCCUCUCCCUCUAGUUACAAUGAUACAGCUUAGAUGAGAGCCCUUCGGGGCCUCUCUGAACACAUAGAGAGGUUAAUAGGCUGUGUUUUUUAGUGCUUUUAUCUUUUGGAAGCUUAUGCAUGCCGUAUGAUAAUAAAAGAGAUUCAAGAUACAAAUAAGAUAGAGGCCUUUGAGCCUGUUUGAGUGCACAUAGAAGCUGUGGAUCAUGUACUUGGGUGCUUUUAUCCUUUAAGGACUAUUUUAUAUAUGCAGUAAGAUGAGAUAUGAUGAUAUAUAUGAGAUAUCACUUCAUUGAUCUAUCCUUUCAUACCAAAUUAAAAAUUGUUCGUGUUACUGAUGAAAAUCAUGAUAACAUUAUUAGAGAGCUUUUUUUUUCUUUUUUCCCUUCCCCUUUUUCUGUUUUGUCCUUUUGUUUGAUUGGGCGUAAUGAAACAGAUAUAACAAGGGACCAAGCAUGACCUAUAUAUAUCUUCAACAAGCAAGGAAACAAGGGAUUGAAUUUGAUGUGUCGCAGCACAAUAAGUUAAAUCUUAAAUUUGGACAGACAAGACAAAUAUAGAAGCAUCUAAUCCACCAAAGGAUAGACAUGGGACUUGACAUGAAAAUAAAUACAGACACAACAUAAACAUUUACUCCUCCAAUGAUUGUUUCAAUAUCUUUAUCCUUGAUAUUUGCUCACUUUUAUAAAAUAUAAGUCUGCUGGUAAAUUUUUUGUACCUUAAACAGUUUUCUGACUUAUGAGAAAAAAAUUAUUUUAAAAAAAAUAUUGCAGAGAAAAAUUAAAAAAAAUUGCUAAAGAGACAAAAUAAUGUCAGAAUGCUGACAAAAAUAAUGUUAAAAUUAACUCGUUUUAAUGUGUUGACAAUUGAGUGAUUAUUAUUAACUUAAGUUUGUUUAAUUGUCAAUUGAGUGAUUAUUAGGCCGAAUUGAUAAAGAACUUUUAAUAAUAUAUGAAAUCUCUUUUUUCAUCAAUCAUGUCUCAAAAUGGUUGGCGAGUAAGCAAUGUUUGGCUUGUCCAACUGCAUUGUCGUGGCCUUGAUAUUUUAACCUAAUAAUGCAAUGAGGUGAUGAUCUCAUUUGCUUUAUCUAUAAGUUAUCCCGAUUUAAUUUAAAACAGAUGUUUCAUUCCCUGUUCUUUGAAUUUUACAAGUUUUUACUGUAUGUACAGCAAUUAUUACCCUUACAAAUUUAAUUGGCGGUUUAAUCGUUAAGCAUGAAUAAUGAUAUGAUCUAACAUACAACUUUAUGUUUAGAGUGAAGUACCCAUAUUUAAAGGUUCAAUAAUAUAUGAAAUCUCUUUUUUCCUUCAAUAAAAAUAUAUAUCUCCCAUGUAUAAUUUUAAGUGAGACGAACGUAACGCGCGUCUGUAUAUCUCUAUCCAAUAAAAUUUUCUCCCAUAUACAUCCAAUUUGAAAUAAAUCAAUGGUGAUAGUGAUAUUAUUACGAGAGUAAAAUUACGAAACACAUGACGUGAUUUUAUUAAAUAACAGUAUCUUUAAAUCUCUGUCAUGGUCAAAAAAAAAUUUUGUCACUUUCUUUUAUGUCAAUAAAAAUUAGCUUUUUUUCUUUUUUCUCUUUAAAAGAAGAGAAUAACAAUGUUUUAAAUCAUUGUUUACAAUACAUGGAUAAACUAGGUAAUUAGUUAAAGACCUGUAAACCAAAAAUGGAUUUAUGUAUUCAUCUUAUCUCCACAUUAUAUGUUGAUGCUUUCAUUUCUACUCGUCCUUUAGUUUCUUCUCAAUGCAAAUGCCAGGAUAGGUCGAACAACAUUUCCAAUGUGCAUUGGUUCUGGCCAAAUUUUUCAUUUAAACAGUUGCACGAACCUUGAUCCAGUGCUGAUCACAAUCUUGUAAGAAGAUACGCAAAAAUCUUAUAUCAGCACUAAAUCCAAAUCUCAAUAGCAGAUAUCAAAAUAGCGAUAAGACUUACUUGAGAUCAAUCGCACAUUCACGAACUUUCACCGAUUGUAUCUCUAACUGUUGUUGCACGUAAAUGAGCGCCAUUUGGUAACUUGGCAUUAAGCUAAGGACCGGCAAAGACGUGCAUUGGUUCUGGCCAUUCCGGCAUUGUUUCCUCAGGUGAAGCUGCCCAUAUGAAUGCUUGUUUACGACAUGGAAACACAUCGUGUGCUGCUGCUUCCAAUGCAUCAGACCUCACCUAUAAUAACAACAAUAAAUAGAUGAAUAAUCUAAUCGGAGGUGAUUGUACAUAUACCGACAAUAGGGUUUAUUUUAACUAUGACACAAUUGCACAACUAAUUCCCAUAUUAAGGCUCAAUUUAGGACUGAUUCGGUAAUUAAGAAGUGUUUCGUAAGGACUUUCAAUUAUGAUUUGGAAGUUAAAGAUAAUUUUACUCAACAAUUGUUUGAUGAAAUUGUAUUAGCAGAUCUUGGCCAGGACUUGACCGAGUGUUUUCAAUCAGCUUUCUUUGGCUAGUCACUCAAGUUUAAGCCCUGUAAGUGUUAUGAACCUAAGAAAUUGAUUCAGGCUUUUUGCACCACCCCACAACUUACUAUUUUUUCAAAUAUAUUUACUUUAAAAAUCAGGGCAUCUUGAUAGGCACCCCUCCAUGUUAAGUUAAAUGAAUAUCGGUGGGUGAGGUUUAUAAUAAUAGACAGCAAUAACAUACCACAACUUCUUUAUGGACAUGCAAUCCAUCGGUCGCAGCAGAACUAGCUGACAGCGCCUGCAGGGAACAUGCAAUUAUAUUUUGAUCAGUGUUCACAAAGCUAAAGCAGUGUAAAUAACAGAUCAUGGCUCAAUUAAUUAAUUACCUGAAGGUGAGUAAAUAAUUGAGAAUGAAAUUAUAUUAUUAAGCAAAGACAUAAGCUAAAUUACCCCAUUUAUCUGUUUGAAUCUCGUCUUGAGAGCAAAUGGCGGCACUGACGAGGCUUGCUCAGUUUCGCCCUGCAUGGCUGCAUGUCUGAUAAGAGUGGAAAAAUAGUGCCUUUAGCUAAAUCGUAGAAUGUUAAAUCUGAUGCUACUGAAUAUGGAGAGUGAUUCAUAUACACGGUCUUCACGAAUAUAUAGUUGUUAAUUACAGGAGAAGUUGCAAUAUGAAGUUAAUUUGAAAUUUAUAUUUCUCACCUCGAAUAAUUUCUGGUAAAUUGCUGAUUCGAUAAGGUUAAACUUUCUUUAUGAUCAUCAUCAUCUUCUUGGUCUUCGCCUUCCGAUGUUCCUAUUUCUGGUGUUUCUCCACAUUUUCUUCCUCUUUUAACAACUUUCGUUGAAGAUUUUGACAGAAAUAUCAUUGUGAGAAGAGUAUUUCUAAAGUUUACAACUUGGAAAUGAGACCUUAUGUGAUAUGUACAUGAAGGAUAGAGUACAUGUCAGUAUUUAUAAGAAACAAUGUGAUGGUUUUAAAGAAACUAAAUAAAGUUUAUUAUUUAAUAAAAAGUCAAAUACAAAUCCCGAAGAAUCCGCUGUAUAAUCGGACAGAAUCUGGAAAACAUAGUCACUUUUAUUAAAAAGUUAAAUACAAAUCCCGAAGAAUCCGCUAUAUAAUCUGAUAGAAUCUAGAAAACGGAGGUACAUGCAUGGCAAUAUCAUUACUUUGUACGACUGGAUUAUUUUUACAAAUUUUUUUCCAAAGAAACUAAUAAAAUUUAUUAUUUAAUAAAAAGUCAAAUACAAAUCCCGAAGAAUCCGCUGUAUAAUCUGACAAAAUUUGGAAAACGGAUGCACAUGCAUGGCAAUAUGAUUACUUUGUACGACUGGAUUAUUUUUACAAAUUUUUAUCCAAUCCCUUGUUUGAUGCCUGUAAAUCAAUAUUUAAAUGUACAGUUAUUUUGUUAUGUUAUUUGAUUUUAACUAUUAAUGUGAAUAUUGGAAUAUAUAUUUAUAUUGAACUAAUAAAAUAAUUGUAUAAAAACAUUUGAAUAAACUUAAUUAUGAAUUAUGAAUUCAUGAUGUAAGGUAGCGUUUGUUUUUUAAUCUAAAAUCUUAGUGAGUCUGAAUUUAGCUAAAAUCUGAAUAGAUUUGAAUUGCAUAUGUCUAAAUGGCAUGUUUGUUUUCUCUUUUUUGAUGUCUGAAUGUAAGUGACAUCUUUUUUUUAUAAAUAAAAAAAGUCUGAAAUAUUAUUAUUUAACAUUUAUGUUCUUGUAAGAGUUAUUUAUACUUAUUAUAAAUUUUAAGAUUUAAAUAUGUGCACGUUACAAUUAAAAUCAAAGAUAUGUAGAAUUGAGUAAUUGAUCUUUAAAUAAAAAUAUUAUUAUAUUACUCCAAAUACAAAAUUGAAUCAAACUUAUUAUACUUUAAAAUUUAAAUUUAAUUUUAUAAUUUACAUCAUCUUUUUUACCAUUUAAGAUUGUAAAAGCCCAUUCGCCCAAACCUAGUCUUAAUUAGCUGUACAUAAGUGUAAAGGCCCAUAAGUGAAUGGAUAUGUGUAAUGCCCUCAACUUCAAGCCAGAGUUAUAACUAUUGGCAGAUCUGUGUAAUCCUUUUAAAACCGUUCUCCAAUUAUAUUAAAAGACAAAAUAAAUCUAAUUAAAUUCUUAUAUUUCUCUCUCUAUAAGUUUCUUUUUCUAAUGGAAAAGGACAUCUACACCCCUAAAGUUUGAAAAAAUGAUCAUUAACACCCCUAUGUUUUCAAAGAUGGACACCAAGACUCCCUUUUGAUGAUUAUACCCUUUAUCUUUAUUAUCUCAAAAGAAUUAACUCUAAUAUUUUACAAUAAAUAGAAAUAUGAUAUUAAAAUAAAUGUAAUAAUACGUACAUUUUAAAAUAAUUUCAAUAUUUAAAAAAUAUUUUAAUAUUUUUUAAUCUAUUACAUAUAUUUUACUAUAUUAAAGUAAAUUUUAUGAUAAGUAGAAUCAUAAUAUUAAAAUAAAUGUGUUAAAAAAUUAAAUUAUAUUGAAUAUUAUGUAAAAUAAUAAUUUUAGCAAUAUUAGUAUGUGAGAAUGUUUUUAAUUGUAGAACGUAUUUAAUGCAAAUAUUUAUUUAAAAUCUCUACAAUAAAAAAAUAUAUUAUUAAAAUAAAUAUAAUAAAUUAUGUAUUGAAAUAUUAAAUAUUUUAAUAUUUUUAGUCUACUGCAUAGAUUAUAUUAUUUAUAUGGUAUUUGUAUUUGCUAAAAAUUUUAAAGUCAGGUUUUUAGAAUAAUAGAGAUAAGGGAUAUAAUGGCCAAAAGAAGGUCAUGGUGUCCCUCCUUGAAAACUUAGGGGUGUUGGUGACCAUUUCCCCAAAUCUUGGGGGUGUAGAUGUUCUUUUUCCUUUUCUAAUUCAUUACCCCCACACAACUACAGCAAACAGCCAAAAUUUUGUGGGAUCUAUAGUUCAGGCAGAAGCGGCCGAAUGCUUCCGGGAACUCAGGCAGAUAGAACCUUGGUUGAUUUGUUUUUCUUCAUAUGAAAUUCUACCUAAUGGCUAUCCUUUUAAUUGGUUUAAAUUCUUCUUUUUUCUUUGAGUUGUUGAUUUAUAGUGCCUUACAUGCAAAAUUCAAAAUUUCGGAUGAUGAUAAUCUUGUUUUAGAAGAGAUUUCUAGUUAUGGUAGCAGCAUUCUUGAUCGUGGCAUCACAAGCACAUGCUCUGGUUUGCUUAGUUUGCCUUUUGUCUCUGAUAUUUUCUUGGCAUUGUGGGAUAUUGUUUCUUUCUUUUUUUUUUUGGUUAUAGGAUUCGGAGAUAUUGUAUAUGUAUGACGAUGAUAUAAUAAAGUGCUUUUGAUAAAUUCACCUGGUCGGUUUACUUCACCAACCAUUAAUGAGCAAAUCCUCCCAGUGACCCUCAAACUCUUCUACACAAUUAUAAUAAUUUCAGUUUUAUAUAUAGAAAAAUGAACAGCUCUCAAAUAUAUUAUUUGAUAAUGACAAACAAAACAACUCACUCCAAUAAAUCUCGUAAUAAAUAAAUUGUCCAUAUUGCAAGUCUUUUUAGGACGUAAAUAAAUAAAUUGGUCCAUAAUUGAAAAGUCUUUUUAAGGACGCAUUCAAAAAGAAAACAUAAAGGAAUGGCAUUGCAAGAAUAUGGAAUCAGAAUAACAGUGAUACAAAGAGAAAAAAAGGGGAUGGUCGGAUUGCUUUGUUUGCAAAAUUAUUGAUGCGGGGGUCUACUUGUUUUUAAUUCACUUUAUUAAUUAAUUAGCGAACCAAACAUGUAAUCAUUUGAAAAAGGAUCAUUGGCCCCAGCUUACAAAAGAUGAAUUUGUAAGACAUAUUAAUUUUGGUGAAAAUGUAGUGUUAUUAAGUUAUGAAUUCAUUAACUUAGAGGUAUUAAUAUUUACUUACGAUGGUGAUUAAUUUAUUUAACUUGUCAUAGUCUUCAAUUAACAAUGAAGUGAAAUCAAUUUAUGGAAAAAAAUAAUAAGUUUUUUACUUUUUAAGAUUUUAAUUCUUAGGAUUUCAUUUCGUUCUUUUUCGAUUAUUGACGUUGUCGAAGAAGGCAAUAAAAGCUUGUUGAAUUUCAUCAAAGGCUUGUAUCUCAUCUCACAAAUUGGCAAUAUCGAUUGGCGUCUUUAUAGGUGAAGCCAUCACGAAUUUAUCACUUCUUUCAUAUUGAUACCCAUAAAUUUCAACCUUAUUUUAUUUUUGAUGCACAAUCUAACUUAACAAAAAUAGUAUUCAAAUUGUCACAAAUUUUUUUUUUUAAAAAAAAAUCAUAUACAGUAGUUAAUUUUUCUUCUUCUUUACUCCAGGAUCCAGCUCCAUACCCCUCUUUUUUGUGGUUGUCCUGCUCAGCCGUUAGAUUUUAAUUACGUUAACCUAACGGUUGGGAUUUAUAAAUGAAUAAUGAAAUUGUGUUUGGCUUUUAUCUGAGCCCAUUGCAUCUAAUUGGUUUUGUGAUUUUUUCUCUUUCUUCUCUGUAACGCUUGACUAGUUCUGAAAAUAUCGGUAGCCAUCGACGGCAAAUAUGGAUUUACAUUUUGCAAAUUGUGGCGCCGUGGCGGGAUGGUAAAAACUAUAAUCAUGUGCCGUUAACAUUUACAUGGUUAAUGUCAUCAAGAUCACAUGGUUGCUAUUUAUGAAAAGAGAAUUGCUAGAAAUUUUGUUAAUCCACCAUUGCAACAGUAUAUUGUUAUAAAUUGCAUUGUUUCCCAUAUAACAAACACAAUAAACUCUCAAUAAAUUAAUAAACAGCUCUCAAAUUUAAAAAAGAAGCAAACAAUGCUAAGAACAUAUUUUACACAAGCUAUAUGGACAGGUCAUAUAGAUUUUGUUUUUAUACUAGGUAAUUAUUAAUUUAUAUGAUAUUUCCUUCAAACUAUAGUAUUUGAAUUUGAAUUUUUUUUUUAAUUUAGUAUUACAAUAAUAGUCGUGACUCAAUUGGUAUCGGUUUUGUAAGAAAAAAGUUGGGGAAAUAGACAAACAAUGAAGGAACAAGUUAAGCAGAGCCAACAAACAAGGGAAAGUGAAUUACUGUCCUUGAGCACAUUAAUAAUCUCGGCUUUCUAUGUACAAUUUUGUAACUUCAUGUCACAUACUAGAGUCUUCUGGGUUUUGUUGCAUCAAUUCUUUGGUGUUUAUCUUGUUUUAUUAUUUUAUGAUGCAAGAGUCCUGGUAGCGAUGUAUUUGGAGUAAAAAGAUUUAAUUUAUUUUUCAUUAUUAUUAGCAAACGUUAUUAUUAAUUAAUCAACCCAUUGAGGUAUAUUGGUUUCUUUGUAACAAUUAGCUAAUUGCUUAAUACUUUUUUGUACUUCUCGCCAUGAAAUCACGAAAUACUUGCAAAUAAGAUCAUAGAGGUGGUGUGUUGUGAUGUGAUAAAUUUAGUUCAUAUCUAAAUUAAGAGAUGAUUCAUAUAUAGGCACAUACUGAAUAAAGAUAUUUAAAUACAAGCAUUCAAUUUUACGAUAUACCUGAUAAUCAAAGGUUUAAUGCUCAGGUUAAAAGGGAGUGAAUAGAAAUAAAUCUAAAAAGAUAAAAAGAAAAACAAGUGAACAUGAUAAUUUAUUAAAUAAUAAACUAAAUUUAUAUCUAUUUUAAGAAGUGUUAAAUCUUUUACACUCUAAAAUUUAUUUUGAGCACUCAUAUUUUUUAUCACAAAAAACUUCAUAAUUCCAUUUACUAAUAAGGAUGAUUCAAUAUAAGUAAAUAGGACAAUAAUACUUUUGACAUUCAUGAAGCGCGCACACAUUCAUGUAAAAAUCUUAAACCUUAAAUUGUAGAACACUCUUCAUCAAAACUCAUUUAAAAGCUUUUUUUUUUUAGUUAGAUUUCGAGGAGGUUCUAUGGGAAUGUCUAACUGCUGAAAAACAAAUAAAAAAACUAGAUACAAGAGUAGAAUAUUCUCAUUAAAUUUUAAUUUUUUUCACAACAUGGAUUGCAUAUUAUACACAAAUAACUGUUCUACAAAUAUGUAGAAGCAAUCUCAAUCAUCCAAUUUUUUUUUCAAAUUUUAACGAAUAUAAAUUUUAUAUGUUGGAUAACUAUGGAAAAUAAGAUUAGGAAAAUGAUAUUAUCAACAAAUAGGGAAAGCAAAGGCGGUUAAUAUUGGUGCAACGAAUAUUUUUAUGGGUGUACUAAGAAAAAUGAAGAUAAUAAAAGGAAUGCUAUUGGUAUAUUAACCGACGAAUAUUUUUAUGGGUGUACUAAGAAAAAUGAAGAUAAUAAAAGGAAUGCUAUUGGUAAUAUCAAUAGCAUUCUUUCAUAUGAUGCACAAAUUACCUUUAUCACUUCUUUCAUAUAAAUACUCAUAAAUUUUAUCCAAAUUAUCAAAAAAAAAAAGAAGAAAAAAAUCAUAUAGUUAAUUUUUCUUCUUCUUUACUCCAUUAUUCAAUAGGAGUAUAAUAAACUAGGAGAAAAGAGAAAUUAAGGAGAAAAUUAGGGUGAUUAUUGCAAUGAAAAAAACUCAGGCAAGUGCUUAUUUUUAGAUACAUGCGUAGAGUUGGCAAAAUUUGACACGACUCGAUUACCCGACACGAAUACGACAUAAAUAAAUGGGUAUGGGUCAUCAAAUUUAACACGAUUAUUAAAUGGGUCGGGUCCGGGUCAACACGAUUUUUUUCCAUGUCGGGUUUGAGUUAAAAUUCUUGACCCAUUUACCCGAUCAAUGACCCGAUUAUAUUUUCUAUCUUAAAAUAAUUUACAUAUUCUUAUCAUUAAAACUCAAAUAUUAGAGAUGAUUUUCUUUUUUUUUAUUCUUUAAAAAGGUGAAUAUAAACACAGUGUUUUAUUUAUAAAAUUUUAAAUAAAUUUAGAGCUUCAAUAGUGUAAAUGUGUAAAAAUUGAUAGACAUGUAUAUUUUAUAAUAUUGAUAUAUAAUAUUAUGUAUAUAUAAUUAAAACCUCAAUAGUGUGAAUGUGUAAUAUAUUGAUAGAUAUGUAUAUUUUAUAAUAUCGAUAAAUUAUGUAUGUAUGUAUGUACAUACGUAUGUAUGAUAGUGUGUAAAUAUUUGAUGUAACUUUUAUUCAAUAUAUAGAUAUUAAACGGGUUAUUGGGUAAUCCGAUUAUUUUUCUGUGUCGGGUUUGAGUCUCAAUAUUUUGACACUAUUAUUAAAUGGGUCGGGUUUGGGUCGACCUAAAUUUGACACGACACGACACGAACACGACCCGAUGACCCGUUUUGCCAGCUCUAUACAUGCGUGGCAUUCAUUAAUUUGACCAAAAAUAAAUGAAUUUAUUUGUAUUUUAAUCAAAAUCGAGGGACAUCAACAAAAAUUUUCCACUCCACGUAUUUAUCAUUUUCUCGUUAAGAAAAAAAAAAUUGCAUAAAAUUAAGAAACCAGUAGUCACUGAACGGGAGAAACAGAGUGAAGAAGAAACCCUAGGAACAAUCCUAGAAGAAGAAGAAUAUGAUGAUGAAGAUACGGCCAUGCCCAACGUUAAGCACAACCCUAAAACAAAAACAAAAGACAACUCUUUGGAGUCGAGCGAUGCCUCUGACUCCGACUCGGAUUCUAACUCAGAAGACGAAGCAAAACAGAACAUUGAGCUUCAAAACUAGAGUAUCAGCUGUCCAAUGAACCUUCCAAUUACGACACCCAUGUUCAAGUAACUUCAAUUCGCAUACUUAUUCAGUGAUUUUGUGGAUACUCAUUUGCUUGUUGUUUCUUAAUUGGGUUGCGAUAAAAAUGGCUUUUUUUUCUUCAGUAUAUAAAGGUUUUGAGAAAAAUGGGUGAGAUAGAGAAGCUGAGACAAGCUAGGGAAGCGAUGAAACAGAUUUUUUCCAUUGACUCCUGCUAGGUGGCAAGAAUGGGCGAGAGAUGAAGCCUCUAUUUCAACUGGGUAUCUGUCAUUUCCUUUUUGCAGUGGUUUUCGAUUUUUUGAACAAAUAUUUUUUUCGCUUAGAGAUAUAGAUGUUUAUGUUCGUUAUUUGCUUAUGUAAAAAGGAACAAAACCUGCUUAAAAGGUAUUAAAGAAAGAAAAAGAGAACCAAUUUGAAGAAGGGGAUACUUAUAGUGGGAUUUCUAUUCUUUGGGGUUUAAUUGAUGGGAGAAGAAACACCUUAUAUGUUUACAGAAUUAGACAUUCGAUCGCUGAGUUAGUUGAGGAAGAUAUUUAAUCACAAUGUAUGAUGUUGUUUCUGUUGGCCUCAGCUAAUUGUUAAGAUUUCAUACUUUCAUUCAACAAUGCAAUAGACUUUGGUUGGGUCUACCUUAGUUGGGUGUUCUGAGGAACCAAUGAGUGUCUUGAGAAAACUUGGGUGGAGUGUGGAUCAUUUUCAGGAUUCAGUUUCCAAGAAAGCAAAAACGAAGUCGGAGUCGUAGUUUAAAUUAAUUUAUGUUUUUGUCUUUUUCUGUGAGCCCAGUGAGCUUUUGUUUUCACUUUGUUCUCUUUUGCUUCUUUCCCUCCUUUUCCUGCUGUUUCUUGACAAUCAAGCAGAUCAGGAUUAAGUGUUUACUUUUGGUGUAAUUAUUCACCCUAACUUGAAUAAUACAUAGUUUUAGUGCUAUCAAAAUAGGAAGUGAAUUAAUAUCUGAAGCUGACUUGGGAGUGGAAUGUGUGUUAGUAAAAAUAUGCUAUUAUGGUAGAUAGAUUUGCAUUUUAGGUAAGACAAAUAAUUACCGCUGUUAAUUUAUUUCAAUAAGUUCGUACAUCAUUCGAUAAUAAGUCGAAGAUUUUAAUGGUUUUGUUUCCUGAAAAUUUGUCAUCAGUGCAUGGACAAAGUUCAAUGGAUGAACUUCUCUUAGUUAAUUCGAGUUCUUUAAGAAACACUAAUCUUGCUCUGUACUUUGGAGUAUUUUAAUAAUUGAUGUUAAGAUUUGCUAAUGUGAAAAGGAAGAAAACCUGCUUAAAGGUAUUAAAGAAAGAAAAAGAGAACCAAUUUGGAGAAGGGAAUCCUUAUAGUGGGAGUUCUAUUCUUUGGGGUUUAAUUGAUGGGAGAAGAAACAGCUUAUAUGUUUACAGACAUAGACAUUUGAUUGCUGAGUUAGCUGAGGAAGGUAAUUAAUCACAAUGUUUGAUGUUGUUUCUGUUGGCCUCAGCUAAUUGUUAAGAUUUCAUACUUUUUUCUGGUUUUUCAUAACUGUGACCUAAAGCUUAAUGUAUACUUUGAUAAUUACAUAAUCGGCUUCUUGCUGAUAUUUGGCUUUAAUUUGUAGACCUGAGGCUCUUUUGGGAGUUGGGAAGAUUUACGAAAGAGGAGUUUCUGAUUAGCUGGUUUGUUCUCUUUAUGCCUACAGAAUUUGAGUUCACUGGUAAGCUUGAUUCACCUUGUUUUGAUUUACUACCAAGAGGUGUUAACAGUUCAUCAUGCACAAAAAGAGGUGGGGGAAAAAAGAAAUCUUCUUGCUAGAUACAUAAAUUUAAUAGUUGAAUCAUUUUCAACCAAAGAAAUGUGCUGAAGAGCAGCAUUUUCGUUUAUAUCAAAGUUCAAUUGCAUCUUAUAUCAUCUGUUUACAUCUCCUUUGUGGUAAAUAAAGUCCUUGAUGAUGACAAUAAGAAUCACAGAAGAAGUUGUUAAUUUCAUAUCUGGAGAUUUUCAUCAUAGUAGUUCAUUGAAAGUGAAGACAGCUGAGUACUGCUUUUUCUGAUGCAGUCUGUCCCUCUUUGGUGUGUUUAUUUGAAAUUUGUGCACGAAUAUGAUCCAUCUAUACAAGAAUGUCCCUAAUAAAAUAUCACAAAGGUGCCUAAUACAGUGAAAUUAACAUAUUCAGCUCAUGAGAUUGCCAUUAUAUAUAUUGAAAAAGAAAUUAAUAUAAGAAACUGAAAAUUAAUUGACACUGGAUCAAAUUGGAUUGUUAGUUGUUAAUUAUGAUGGCAAUAUAAUCUUGGUCUUUUAAUUAUCAUCUAGGUAAUGCAUGUGCACUUUCAUUUGUGAGAGAGAAAAUAUUUGACAAUCACGAAAACAACAACAAUUCACUCCCAUAAACAACAUAAUAGAUGCAUGGUCUAUAUUGCAAGUCUUUUUAUGAUUUUAAUUAAAAGAGAAAAUGCAAAGGACAUAUUAUAUAUAAUUGAAUGUUCUCCUUGAUAAUUAGUCAAAAUAACACCAAUCUGGCUAACUAAUACAAUCAUCAUAAUUAUCCAAUUUUCAUUUUAAUUAUGUCCAAUCAUGCUAAUUUAAUAAAGAACACUGAAUACAUGAGUAUUUAUAUGUUCAACAACUUUGGCUGAGUAUGAAAAAUAUAAGAGCUGCAUUUAUGCUUUGUCUUAUUAAGUAGGACAUGACCAUAUUAUGUUGCAUUUGUCAGAAAACUGAAAAUUAUCGAAAAAGGAUCUUAAAAGCGAGGUGUUAAAUUGUGAGCUUAAAAAUGAGUUUUAGAAGUUUCUGACAUGUUGGUUUGUAUCCUUGAUUGUAAAUGCCCCGUCAGUGUCUGGAUGAAACAGGAGAAUAUGACAUCUGUGUAUUGUCUUUUACUUCCAGUAAGUGAAUCACAUGUUCUUCACGUGAUUUGACAUACUUUAUACGGAUUUAGCAGUUGUUUUGGUCACUUAUUGAAGCACAAGUUAAGCACGUGAUUCAAGGUUGUUAACUGACCAUUGUAAGGCGGGAAAAUUCUGGGUUUCUUACAACAAACCCAGAAGGCAGCUGGCGAGUGGGAGAUGUUUCUAGAUUCUUCAUGAUCUGUAUAUAUAGUCUUAGAGGCUAUAGUUGAGCCAUAUGAAAAGCUUGUAACUUCUUAAUGUUUGUAGCUUGUUCUUGGUAAUUGCUCUGACGAUGGAAGUGAGUUAAAAUGAUAUCAACUUUUAUUUAUGGACAGGUUAAGAAAAUUUUUGAGUUCCUGAAAAAUGGCUUCCAUGAGAUCAGCAGUUCUUUGGAUUUAUCUUUCGAAUAUGAUUUGGUUGCUGAUGAGAAAAUUCCAUUCCUAGCUGAUCUUGCCAGUGUUCUAAAUGAGCAUUCCUUUUUCCCAUAUGAGUUGGAACCAAAACAUUCAGGAAUAUGAUUGCUGACUUCAUGAAAAUGUACCACCAUAUUCCACUAAAUGCUGAUGUGAGAAAACCUUCACCACUCAUCUGUUUUUUUACUUCUCUGGACAAGUAAUUUUUAUAUUGUCUGUCCUAGAUUCUGUUUUCCCUGAUGCAAUAUUUCAGUUUCUUUGCACGUGAACUUGGAGCAUUCAUAUUAGUUUAGGAGUGAAUCUAUUGGUCAUUUACUUGUUUGUAACAAAUAACGUAUGAAACAAUCUUGUUAUUUUUUAUUCUCAAUAUGUAGAGCUCUAUGGACCAAUUGCCUGUCUUCUGUUAUCCUCAUUAGAAUUUCUUCAGACUACUUCCACUUCAUGCUAUUUGUGAUAAUUUGUAUUGUUUUUGUGGUCUUUCUUAUGUCUGUUGGACAAAUACUGUAAUAUGAAAUUUUAUCUAAUGGUGUCCUUUAUUCCUUUUGCAUCCUGUCCCCUCUAGUAGUUAAAUGUAUUUUUGGAUUUGUCAAUUUAUUUGAUUUGAUGAAAUCUUGAUUCUCAUGUUAUCUAUCUGUUUAUCCAACUUGACCAUGGAAUGUGUUGUUGCUGUGAGUUACGCUGCACGUGCUUGUUAUUCGUCUAGUCCUUUUAUGUAAACAUACGGGUUUGGAUGUACUCGUCUAUAUACUGGACCUGAGAUAUUUGCACCUGACCUACUUAUUGAUGUACGUGUAAAAUGAAGAACUUUUUGAGAUCUGGAAUGGAUCAAGACUUGCAAUUUUUAUUUGUAGAUUUUCCACUCUCCAGUCCAAUUAUAAAAGACAGUUUGUGAAUGCUGCAUGAAUAAACUAGCCAAACUUAAAGAUGCUUAAUUGCCUCUUUCUCUUCUUUCGUAUAUGAGGUAAAACAAUCCACAUUCCUAACUUUUCUUCUCCACUUGUUUCUCAAGAAUGUUGUCUUUCCUUCAAGAGCUGUGUGGCAAUUGUGAAUGCUCUUCGAUUGUUUUCACCUCUCCUCGAACAUCUAACCAGACACUUACCGAAGCAAUGGUUAACAAGUUUAGCAAUCAAGGUAGGAUCUAUUUCUGAUUUAUUUUUGUGUUAUUUUUGACAUAGUUGAAGAUGUCAUUUUUUGGCAGAUUUUCUUUGCUAUUCUUGGAACAAGUAAAUAGUGCUUAUUGCCUUGUUUGCACACAUACUAGUCUAGACACACCACAGAAGUUUUUGGAUGAUGAAAUAUCAGAUAGGAACUCAGCACAUUGUUUACCUGUUGCCUUUAUUCCUCAAGUGACAGUAAAAACUAGUAAUUGCAGUAGAUGAUAUAUUUAAUGAAAAUUACUGGGCAGUCAGACUUUUGUGUUGACAUUGAAGGGGGAGAUGGACAAAAGUCGAAGGAAUAUAAUGAGUGCUGAGUUGGAACAUGUUAAUGCUCAUUUGGAAAAUGGGUGAGGAUCACAGUGCCAAAGCUUGCAGCCUAAGGUUAUCAACAUUGAUGAAGAGGCUGCUGGUAAUUCUUCCGGUGAAGAUAUUAACGCCACGAAAGCUUAAAUGUAAUUGAUUAAAGGAAGAAGCGCUUGCUUUGCUUGAUGUGCUAUUCGUUUAUGAUCUUUUCCUGGUUUUGUUGUGAGAUGUUUCUCUUUGGAUUUUCUGUUUAUUGUACUUUGAUGGGUUUUUGAGGAUGACUUGUAUGUAUUAACAACAAUUAAGUGCUUUUUAUAUAUCCCUAGUCCUACAGCACUAAAAAAGAAAUUAAUACGCUUGGUUUAUUGUUAAUAAAAUAUAUAUAUAUAUAUAUAUAAGCGGACGCUGUAUAACAAUAGACACACGGCGCAUACAUAAAAUGUAAAUAAUUUUUAAAUAUUAAACAUUUAAAAUAGUCAAGCAUAUUAACAAUUUACAAUUUAGAUUAUAUGUAGACGAAAUAAUGGUAAUAACAAUAAAGUACUUUUUAUAAAGUCCUACAAUAGUAAAAGAAUUAAUGAGCUUGGUUUUUAUUAAUAAAAACCAACAGAAACAACACCCGAUUUAAAAAAAUUACAUACACAAAGACACCCGAUUUAAAAAAAUAAUUACAAUGCUAACAAUAAAAUAAUUCAAUCGUCCCCUGAUCAAUCAUCAAAAAUCCAUUUGUUAUCUAUUUCAACAAGAGGUAUAUGGGUUAACAAGUCCCAAUAUUGUCCUCCAUCCUUUCUGCACUUCUCUGCUAUCAACGAACAUCCAUAGAUCCAUAAUUGCAAAAGUGAGGAAGGCAGGCCCUUCUCCGGAAAGUAUUUGAGCUUGGGACAAUCCUUGAGAUAUAAACGAGUGAGGUUUUGAAGAUCAACAAUUGAAGAAGAUAGGCGUUCCAGAUUUGGAAAAGCUUCAAUCGACAGAGAUGUUAGAGAGGCAGGAAGAGGAAGCGCGGUCCCUAAUCUUUUGUCCUCUAGUGCAAAUGACACCAUGUCGUCAUCACAUCCUUUGAUUGUGAGUUCUUGCAGAGAGAAGAAUCUGUGAAAUCCCCGGCCCCGCUCAAUCAUUGACUUCCAAAUCUCCAUAUUACCCCAAAUACAAAGUGACCGAAGGUUGGUGGGAAGGCCAUCUUCUUCAAGGCUUGGAAGCUCACCUCCUAUUCCUAUUGUUAAGUAUUGAAGAGUGCUCAGAUUAUGCAAUCCCUUGGGUAAGGCCUCUAGUCUCUUACAAUCAUAUAUCCGCAGCUUAGUGAGUUUCGCACAAGGCAAUCCCCCUUCGGGAAAGGACACUAGAUUUCCACACAACUCAAUUGUAAUCUCUUGAAGCAGCCGGAGAUUAUGUAAACCACUCGGUAAAAUCUUCAGAUUUUCACAAUUAAUAAUACUGAUUGUUUCAAGAGAUGUGUUGUUGUCCAACCUUUCUGCUAUUGACUCCAGCUUUGAACAUCGCCAAACUAAAAGGGACUUAAGAGACGGAGGUAGAUUGCCAACUUCAAGGGACUCAAGCGUGGCAGGUAACUCGUUUUUUGAAAAUAUACAUGUCAGUGAUGGACAAUUGAAAACAAACAACUCCUCGAGAAGAGAUGAGGUGUACCUUCCGCUGCUGCUGCUACACUGGAUGCCCUCUUCCACUGUCAAAGUCCUUAUAUUAUCGCAACACCAGAUCGUCAACCCCUUAAGGCUCGAUGGUAGCUGGACAGCAGCAAUAUAUGUCAACGAAUGGCAGUCCUCAAUAUUCAAGAUCUCGAGAGACGAAUUGGUGUCGCACAUCCAUGCCUCUGGUAACGAUUUCAGUGCAUCACAAUGCAUAAUCUUAAUUUUCUUCAACUUGGAAGGCAGAGCAACCUCAGGAAAGGAAACAAGGGAACUGCACUUGUAGAUUUCUAUCUCUCUCAAGGAACUGAGGCUGAGCGAUGAUUGUGGCAGCUUCACAAGGCCUUCGCAAUCUCUCAAUUCUAGAUAUUCAAGUCUGCAUGACAACUCGCAGAGCUGCUGUUGUUGGUCUUUCUCUUCCUCCGCCACCAAGGAUUGAAGUUUGGGACAGCUGUCAAUCGUCAGGCUUUUGAGAGAGCAAAUGUCUUGCAGUAAUUCGUUAUGACUCGUCCAUAUAUAUGUCUGCUCUUUCAUAUUUUCUAUCUCCAAUUCUUCCAAUUUUGGUAGUUGCGGCUUCAAUGGCCCUGCAAGAAACACUUGAUUUGAUGUUUCUCGACAAACCACCGAAUUCUGUGACCCGAGAUGAUCAGUUGCACUUCUCCACACAACCUUUUUACAUCCACCAAUUUCAAAUUUGCAAAGAGCUGGAAGACUUGCAACUGAAACUAGCAAUUCUUCACAUCCUUCAAUUACAAGUAUCUCCAAUGCGGGAAGGUGUUCUGGAAAUGUUCCUUGCAGCUUAGAACAGCUUAAAAUGUGAAGCUCUCUCAAUUUAGGAAACCGUUCAACUCCUUGACUAGAUCCAUGAGGAAUCCAGUCUUCCCACUCUUGCAUGUCUUCAAAACGAAGAGUCUCCAAGCAUGGAAAUGGAAUUGGAGCGUCAUUCCCAUAGAACUCCGAACCCAAACUCCUUACUCUGCUCAUUCUACGUACUGCAAGAUGCUUUAGAGAGGGUAGUUGGCCGACUGACGGCAGGGCAGUACACAUGUCACAAUUUUCAAAUUUUAGGGUCACCAAAUUUGAGAAUGAGGAAUCUCCCAACCAAGUUGGAAAUUUCAUACCUCCAUAGCCUUUGAUACAAAAUUGCUCCAGAUUUGUAUGAGGUUUUAGCAUGUCAAGCACGCCCAUUUCAGUUUCUGCCUCCCUUGAAGAUGAACCAUCGGUACUGCAAGUCCAAUUAAGCGAUAAUUCUUUCAGAUUCUUCUUUCCAUCCAACCGAGCCUCCUUUGCAUCACCAAUGUCUUUUACAUUCUCUAAUUUUGAAAUUUUAAGUGUCCCCUGAAGAUGGAUCAAUGACUUUAGCUCUCGUAACCCAGAACCAUUGUCUUUUCCCACAGCAAAAUUACACAACGUCUGAAGACAAGUCAGCUUACCAAUUCCUAGUGGCAUUUCCUCCAACGAAUCUGUAUUUGAAUUAUUGAGAUGAUGCAAUUUGGUGAGGUUUCCCAUGUCUGCACACAACUUCUUCAGUAGCUUACAGCCCUCCAACAGAAGGGUGUGCAAAUUGUAAAGCUUGCUGACUGAUUCAGGCAGAGUUUUAAUCUCAGUUCCAGACAGGUUGAGGUACCUUAAAUACCUCAAAUCACCAACUGAAUCCGGCAGCUCGGAGAUGCGAUAUCCACGCAGAGAGAAGACCCUUAAGCUUUGGAGUUUGAACAACUUAGGAAGAAUGCUAUGAGCCAAGUAUCCACGCGCACUAUUUGACAACAUCAGUGGUAAAAAAUUUCGCAAAUGUUGGAUAUCAUACAAUUUCUCAAACCUUUUAACGCCGUCACAUUCUCCACAAAUAUAUGAUAGAUGACGAAGAUUUCUUGAAAAACUUUGCUGCUUGUUAACCUCUGAGAUAUACUCCAUUCUGAAGUACAUUUCCCCAGCAGCCCAUUGAGCAAGGUCGUUGACGAGGUCAUGCAUCACAAAUCGUGAUCUACUGCUGCUUGAUUGCUGGAAAAAAGAUCUUGCACGUAGCUCUUGAAAGAACUUUCGACCUAGAUCUUCACUAGGAUUCCCGCUCUCUCCGUGAUCCAAGAAACCCGAAGCACACCAUAAUAAAAUUAUCUCCUCCUCUUCAAAUUCGUAAUCCUUUGGUAACAAUGAGCAGUAUGCAAAGCAUUGUUUCAAAGUUGGAGGAAGAUAAUAAUAGCUCACUGCAAGGGCUGGUAUAAUGCGACAUCUCUCUUGUGGUAAUUCCCAUAUCUUGCUACUAAGCACAUCUUCCCACUCACGUCUGUCAUGUUUUCCACGUAAAAGUCCUCCCAGUGCUUUUGCUGCCAAGGGCAAGCCAUUGCAUUUUAUCACUAUCUUCUUGCCAAUGUCCUCCAAUGACUUAUGAGAACUGAAAUCUCUCGUUCCCAAAGAGUGCUGAGCAAACACAGACAGACAAUCCUCAGUUGACAAGUUUUUCAAUUCAUAAGCUUGAUCCGGGCUCAUGAUUUUUGCAACCUCUUGAUUGCGAGUAGUGACAACAAUCUUACUUCCCUGUGCGCCAGCUUCAAAUGGAAGGCUGAGGUCGACCCAAUCAGUGUAAUCCUCAUUCCACACGUCGUCCAAAACUAGCAAAAACUUCUUUCCAAACAGGUGUUUCUUCAAUUUCUCUUGAAGCAAAUUUAAGUCCUGAUUAUCCACAUUCUGGUCAGCAGCAAUGGAAAUUAGGAUUGAUUUUGUAAGCCUGAAAACAUCAAAAUCAUCAGAGACGCAAGUCCAUGCCUUGAGAUCAAAAUGAUCCUCCACCUGCUUAUCAUUAUAGACAAGCUGAGCAAGAGUGGUUUUACCCAGCCCGCCCAUACCUAUAAUAGGAAUAACAGAGAAUCCACCAUCAUUUCUUGAAUCAUCCUUCAACAACAAUUCAACAAUUUCCUUCUUUUCUGUUUCCCUGCCAGAGACCUUGGCUUCAUUCACCAAAGAGGUUGUCUCUAGCCUUUGACUGGCUUUUUUGGACCCUCCAGCUGAACUUACGUUCAAACCCAGCGAGUCUUUCUGUGUCACAAUAUCUUGAAAUCGGUCGUUGAUCUCUUUGAUUUUGGACAUCAUGGCGUAAUCGAACUGAAUCGAUUGUGGAGUAAAAGUGGUGCAGCAAGUAGGAAUGAGCUUCCGAAACUUACUUGUUCUUGUACGACUGCUACUGGGUUGAUCCUGAGCAGCAGCUGGAUCUCCAUUUCCAAGCAGCAACUUCCUCCGUAAAGCCUCAGUUUGAAACUCAUCCAACAAGUCUUCAACAUCAUAAGCCAAGUCCUGAAGCUUGCCAAGCCACUUCUUCACAAACUGAUUAGUCGUCUUCUUCUCCUCAGCAUCAUCAAGCACCGCCUUGAUCAUCUCCAACAUAUUCGCCCACUUCAUCAGAUCGGCCUUGAUUUGCUCUUGGCGUGCAAAAAACAGAAUCCCCUCUGAAGCUAACUUAUUGACCAGCAAAUCAACGGACGCCUUAAGGAUUGCCUCUCCGAUGAUUGACAUUUUUUUUUCUCUCUUCUCUCUUUUUUUUUUUUUUUUUUGGGGCAAAGAAAGAAGCAGAAUUUUGAGUUUUGAAAAGCAAAAUGAGAAAAUUGAACAGAAACUGUGAAGGGUCAAGCAAAAUGCAGGUAACAAGUCUUCCACUUGUUGUUUAUUCCAGGAAAGGGAAAAUAAAAACAGAGCCCACCACCCAUUAAUAAUUUAGCAAUUUACCAAUCACCAACCACCACCACUUGUUACCAGAUUCAAUAAAUAUAAAAUUGCACGUUGAUAUUUGUAGGGCCAAGCAACAUUAAUCCAAUGUCUGGUAAAUGCUGAAUAAAGAGGAAAAUGGAAUGUAUCUACUACGGACCUUCGCUUUACAAGUCUUCAAAGUCAUAAUAAUUACUUUAUUUAUUGAAUUAAUUUUCAUGCUAAAAUGAAGACUUAAAAGUAUACUACAAUAUUUUAUAAUCACAAUGAUAAUUUUAACAAUCAUGUUAUAUUAAUGUCGUGUAAAAAUAAUUUAUAAUAAAAUUUUAGCCGAAUAUAGUAAAUUCGACUUAUUUAUUACAUAUAUAUAUUUCAUAAAAUAAUAACACAAUUAAUAUGUUAUCAAUCAAAUAGAAACUCUAAUGAUUGAAUAAUGAUAUUACUGGUAUUUAUAAAUUUCUAAGACGCGAUAAUUAUGUGGGGGACAUAUAUUUAUGGUUAUAGAAAAUGGCGGUAAAAAUGGUACAAAUCUAAUAUAAUAAAAAUGUAUAAACUGUAGUAAAUUAAUGUUUACUUCAAAGGACGUUAUAAAUAUCGCUUUCCUUAAUACGUUAUUUGCUCCCAUUGAUUGAGUUAUGCAUAUGGAUUAAGCAAAUAUGCAUCUAAGAUACAAUAAAGCAUUGAUUUGUUUGUUUACGUUUUACAUCAAUGAAAGCAACACAUGAAUAUUCUUGAAUGUUAUAAGCCUAACAAGAAUUAAUAUAUUAUUCUUACAAGAAAAUAAUAUGUUAGAUAUUUGAUGCAUAAAAAAUAAAUGUUAAUCGAUGAAAUUCUUUUAAAGAAAGAGGACUACCAAAAAAAAUGGUGUAGGAUAAUUUUAUUCAUGUCUAAUUGACAUUUAUUUUUUAUGAAUGUAGGGGUAUUUUGGUAAUUUUAUGGACACAAGCGUUAUAUGUUGUGGAUAGAUGUUCGUUUUGAACUACAUUGCGUGUGGUUAGUCGUAUUUCACAUUUAUGAAAAGUAAUUAUGUUGUUUCCUUGAUUAGGAGAAACUGCGAAUGAGAACCAAGCCGUUGAUAUGAACAAUAGUCGAGUUUAAGUAUUGUCACUAUGAGUGAAAUAUGCAAACCCAUUUUCAUAUUUUAUUAUGAUUUUAGAGUGUAGUAAACCAUAUUUGAAAAAUAAGAUUUUAAUGCUCUAAUUUAAUGAUUUCUAGAAUAAAUUUGAUUUACGUAUUGGUACAUUAUUCAAAAUUUUAUGAUUAUUGGUUUUCCCUAUCGAUUUUGAGUAAUGCAUAAUGGUACUUUGAAGAAAAGAAAAGUAAAUUUAAUGUUAAUGGAAAGAAAAGAAGACUUAAUGUACGAUUAAAAAUGUGUUAUUUAUGUGUAUAAAAAUUUGUUAUUAAAAAUCAUGAGACAAGACCUUCUCCAUUUAGUUACAAUGAUACAGAUAAGAUGAGAGCCCUUUGGGACCCCUCUGAACACAUAGAGAGGUUAAUAGGUUGUGGUUUUUAGCGCUUUUGCCCUUUGGAGGCUUAUGCAUGCUGUAUGAUAACAAAAAAAGAUUUAAGAUACAGAUAAGAUAGAGGCUUUUGGGUCUGUCUAAGUGCACAUAGAAGCUUGGGUGCUUUUGUCCUUUAAGGACUAUUUUAUGCAUGUAGUAUGAUGAGAUAUGAUGAUAUACAUGAGAUACUUCAUUGAUCUAUCCUUUGUAGCUGCAGGCAUGACAAUGCCCGCAUAGUAUGUCAUUGCACUGCCCAUAUGCGGUCCAGGUACGACAAGAUCAUUUACUUGUUUAGUGACAGUUUAAGAAUAAAGUAUUCUAUGUUAUCUUUUGAUAUGAUUUUCAUGUGUAUUACGUACAGUAUAAUGUAUUCUUCACUGACAAUUGUUUGAUUUAAAGUUUGAAUAAUUUAACUAUGUGCUUACUUAUAGAUUAGUAAAGUUGGUAUGUCGAAAAAAUAUGAUCAUCUUUAAAGUAAGUUAUUUUCAAAAGAUGUUAUCCACUCACUGAGCUUACUAAUUUUUAUAUUAACAUUAUUUUAUUAUAUUUUUCCCCCCGUAGAAGGAUGCAGGUACACCAAUCGACCGACCGACUGUAGUUAUUUUGAAUUUUUGUUCAUGUGAUGGCACCAGGAGAAAUAGAUGGUAUUAUGCAUUUUGAUCAUCUCAUUUUGGAAUGUAUAAUUGUAUUAUGAUUUGAUGAUUAUGGAUGUUUAAUAUAUAUUGAAAUCAGAUAUAUUAUAAUAUUUUGAUAUUGGAGAUGUUUGGGUGUUAUUUGGUAUUUUGGUUGAGAAGGUUGAUUGAUGGAACUGCUUAUAUAUUAAACUAUGUUAGGAGUGCUUGUAUAAAUUUGCAAUUUUGGGAUUGUUAUAUUUAUAAGGGAAAUAAUUACCGAAUUUUUGGUAGAAUUAAAUUAUUAUCAGUCAAGUUAGACGAUAUCAAAUGGACCCGCAUGGAGUUCGAGGCGAGUCGUUUCAAAUCAAGUCCUUUAUAAAGCUCACUCACCCCUUGUUAGCUCUCAUUCGUUACAAGCAUCUAUCUAUCAAUAUAUCAAUCAAUGCUUACAUUUUCUUUCCUCUUAUACAUCAAAAUGAAGUUCAUCUUGGCAACCUUGCUGUGGCAUUAUUAUUGUCAAUAGUAUAGAACGUUUACAAUUAUCAUCUUCUGGUUGACCAAACCUGUAGCGACGUUCCAUUCGGAGCCAACUGUGUGGCCUCAGUCAGCGCGAAACUCUCUUUAAAACCCGAUGUUGAAAUUAAACCAAAAUGAAAUCCUCGGCGCAGCAAUAACUGUACUGAAGGAAUGCGUUAUUCAAGCUAGGAAAGACUAUUCUAAAGCGCAUGAAAUUAGUAAAGACAACUAUGAACAGAGCGUGCUCAUGGCUUCCAUUGAAGAAUACAAUAAAGUCGUAGAAGCUUGCGACAAAGCAAUUGAACCAGCUAAGGUUGGCGAUUUUGACGUCGCAAAAACGGCAGCUGAUGAAGCCGACCUGAGCGUUUCUCGCGCUGACGCAUACAACACCGAGAACGCGAACCUGAAACAUGUCAAUUUGAACUUGAAAAUUGCUUCUAAAAAUACAGUGGCCAUAGCCAUCAAGGCUCUUAGUAAUCCUGGUGCUGAAAGCGAAAAUUAAAAUAAGGAGAGUACAAUUACUUAAUUUAAUUGAUCAUGAUUUCAUAUUUCUUUCAUCAUCGAUCUUUGUCUUUUUUAUCUUUUUUGAUAUGCAAACCAAUUAUAUUCUUUUUUAUGAUAUUGUUGGAGAGAAUAAUAAUAAUAAUGUGUGCACUUUGAAGCAGCUUUCUGCUUAUGUUGUAAUGAAUAAUUUUUUAAUUGGUUGAUUGAAUUAUUUGAUGCUUUUAUUUAUUUAAUUACGUGAUGAUCAUGCAUGACUAAUUAAGUGGAUUCAUAGAAUUGGAAAAAUCAAAUAAUGACAUAAACAAAAUAAUAAAUCAAAACGAUUAAUUGAUUGUCUUCAUGUGUGUUAAUCAACAAAUGCAAAGAUUAAUUAUCAAUUAAUCAAUACAUAAAUAUAUGUUGACUUAAUUUUUGUCAAUCAAUCAAAUUUUCUAAUCACAAUUGUAUCGUUUCUGCAAAAACUUUUUCUCACAAGGUAAUAGAUUGUAGUAUUUCAUACCAAAUUAAAAAUUGUCCGUGUUACUGAUGAAAAUCAUGAUAACAUUAUUAGAGAGCUUUUUUUUUUCUUUUUUCCCUUCCCUUUUUUUCUGUUUUGUCCUUUGUUUGAUUGGGCGUAAUGAAACAGAUAUAACAAGGGACCAAGCAUGACCUAUAUGUAUAUCUUCAUCAACAAACAAGGAACCAAUGGAUUGAAUUUGAUGUGUCACAGCACAAUAAGUUAAAUCUUAAAUUUGGACAGACAAGCAAAUAUAGAAGCAUCUAAUCCACCAAAGGAUAGACAUGGGACUUGACAUGAAAAUAAAUACAGACACAAACAUAAACAUUUACUCCUCCAAUGAUUGUUUCAAUAUCUUUAUCCUUGAUAUUUGCUCACUUUUAUAAAAUAUAAAUCUGCUGGUAAAUUUUUUGUACCUUAAACAGUUUUCUGACUUAUGAGAAAAAAACUAUUUUAAAAAAAUAUUGCAGAGAAAAAAAAAAAAAAAACCUGCUAAAGAGACAAAAUAAUGUCAGACGUGCAUUGGUUCUGGGCAUUCCGGCAUUGUUUCCUCAGGUGAAGCUGCCCAUAUGAAUGCUUGUUUACGACAUGGAAACACAUCGUGUGCUGCUGCUUCCAAUGCAUCAGACCUCACCUAUACUAACAACAACAAAUAGAUGAAUAAUCUAAUCAGAGGUGAUUGUACAUAUACCGACAAUAGGGUUUAUUUUAACUAUGACACAAUUGCACAACUAAUUCCCAUAUUAAGGCUCAAUUUAGGACUGGUUCGGCAAUUAAAAAGUGUUUCGUAAGGACUUUCAAUUAUGAUUUGGAAGUUAAAGAUAAUUUUACUCAACAAUUGUUUGAUGAAAUUGUAUUAGAUCUUGGCCAGGACUUGACCGAGUGUUUUCAAUCAGCUUUCUUUGGCUAGUCACUCAAGUUUAAGCCCUGUAAGUGGUAUGAACCUAAGAAAUUGAUUCAGGCUUUUUGCACCACCCCACAACUUACUAUUUUUUCAAAUAUAUUUACUUUAAAAAUCAGGGCAUCUUGAUAGGCACCCCUCCAUGUUAAGUUAAAUGAAUAUCGGUGGGUGAGGUUUAUAAUAAUAGACAGCAAUAAGAUACCACAACUUCUUUAUGGACAUGCAAUCCAUCGGUCGCAGCAGAACUAGCUGACAGCGCCUGCAGGGAACAUGCAAUUAUAUUUUGAUCAGUGUUCACGAAGCUAAAGCAGUGUAAAUAACAGAUCAUGGCUCAAUUAAUUAAUUACCUGAAGGUGAGUAAAUAAUUGAGAAUGAAAUUAUAUUAUUAAGCAAAGACAUAAGCUAAAUUACCCCAUUUAUCUGUUUGAAUCUCGUCUUAAGAGCAAAUGGCGGCACUGACGAGGCUUGCUCAGUUUCGCCCUGCAUGGCUGCAUGUCUGAUAAGAGUGGAAAAAUAGUGCCUUUAGCUAAAUCGUAGAAUGUUAAAUCUGAUGCUACUGAAUAUGGAGAGUGAUUCAUAUACACGGUCUUCAUGAAUAUAUAGUUGUUAAUUACAGGAGAAGUUGCAAUAUGAAGUUAAUUUGAAAUUUAUAUUUCUCACCUCGAAUAAUUUCUAGUAAAUCGCUGAUUCGAUAAGGUUAAACUUUCUUUAUGAUCAUCAUCAUCUUCUUGGUCUUCGCCUUCCGAUGUUCCUAUUUCUGAUGUUUCUCCACAUUUUCUUCCUCUUUUAACAACUUUCGUUGAAGAUUUUGACAGAAAUAUCAUUGUGAGAAGAGUAUUUCUAAAGUUUACAACUUGGAAAUGAGACCUUAUGUGAUAUGUACAUGAAGGAUAGAGUACAUGUCAGUAUUUAUAAGAAACAAUGUGAUGGUUUUAAAGAAACUAAAUAAAGUUUAUUAUUUAAUAAAAAGUCAAAUACAAAUCCCGAAGAAUCCGCUGUAUAAUCGGACAAAAUCUAGAAAACAUAGUCACUUUUAAUAAAAAGUUAAAUACAAAUCCCGAAGAAUCCGCUAUAUAAUCUGAUAGAAUCUAGAAAAUGGAGGUACAUGCAUUGCAAUAUCAUUACUUUGUACGACUGGAUUAUUUUUACAAAUUUUUUUCCAAAGAAACUAAUAAAAUUUAUUAUUUAAUAAAAAGUCAAAAUACAAAUCCCGAAGAAUCCGCUGUAUAAUCUGACAGAAUUUGGAAAACGGAGGCACAUGCAUGGCAAUAUCAUUACUUUGUACGACUGGAUUAUUUUUACAAAUUUUUAUCCAAUCCCUUGUUUGAUGCCUGUAAAUCAAUAUUUAAAUGUAGAGUUAUUUUGUUAUGUUAUUUGAUUUUAACUAUUAAUGUGAAUAUUGGAAUAUAUAUUUAUAUUGAACUAAUAAAAUAAUUGUAUAAAAACAUUUGAAUAAACUUAAUUAUGAAUUAUGAAUUCAUGAUGUAAGGUAGCGUUUGUUUUUUAAUCUAAAAUCUUAGUGAGUCUGAAUUUAGCUAAAAUCUGAAUAGAUUUGAAUUGCAUAUGUCUAAAUGGCAUGUUUGUUUUCUCUUUUUUGAUGUCUGAAUGUAAGUGACAUCUUUUUUUUUAUAAAUAAAAAAAAUCUGAAAUAUGAUUAUUUAACAUUUAUAUUCUUGUAAGAAUUAUUUAUACUUAUUAUAAAUUUUAAGAUUUAAAUAUGUGCACGUUACAAUUAAAAUCAAAGAUAUGUAGAAUUGAGUAAUUGAUCUUUAAAUAAAAAUAUUAUUAUAUUACUCCAAAUACAAAAUUGAAUCAAACUUAUUAUACUUCAAAAUUUAAAUUUAAUUUUAUAAUUUACAUCAUCUUUUUUACCAUUUAAGAUUGUAAAAGCCCAUUCGCCCAAACCUAGUCUUAAUUAGCUGUACUUAAGUGUAAAGGCCCAUAUGUUCUUAAGAAAUGUUAAGAGUUUUCUUAGACCCAUAAGUGAAUGGAUAUGUGUAAUGCCCUCAACUCCAAGCCAGAGUUAUAACUGUUGGCAGAUCUGUGUAAUCCUUUUAAAAUCGUUCUCUAAUUAUAUUAAAAGACAAAAUAAAUCUAAUUAAAUUCUUAUAUUUCUCUCUCUAUAAGUUUCUUUUUCUAAUGGAAAAAGGACAUCUACACCCCUAAAGUUUGAAAAAAUGAUCAUCAACACCCCUAUGUUUUCAAAGAUGGACACCAAGACUCCCUUUUGAUGAUUAUACCCUUUAUCUCUAUUAUCUCAAAAGAAUUAACUCUAAUAUUUUACAAUAAAUAGAAAUAUGNNNNNNNNNNNNNNNNNNNNNNNNNNNNNNNNNNNNNNNNNNNNNNNNNNNNNNNNNNNNNNNNNNNNNNNNNNNNNNNNNNNNNNNNNNNNNNNNNNNNNNNNNNNNNNNNNNNNNNNNNNNNNNNNNNNNNNNNNNNNNNNNNNNNNNNNNNNNNNNNNNNNNNNNNNNNNNNNNNNNNNNNNNNNNNNNNNNNNUAUUAGUAUGUGAGAAUGUUUUUAAUUGUAGAACGUAUUUUAUGCAAAUAUUUAUUUAAAAUCUUUACAAUAAAAAAAAUAUAUUAUUAAAAUAAUAUAAUAAAUUACAUAUUGAAAUAUUAAAUAUUUUAAUAUUUUUAGUCUACUGCAUAGAUUAUAUUAUUUAUAUGGUAUUUGUAUUUGCUAAAAAUUUUAAAGUCAGGUUUUUAGAAUAAUAGAGAUCAGAUAAGGGAUAUAAUCGCCAAAAGAAGGUCAUGGUGUCCCUCCUUGAAAACUUAGGGGUGUUGGUGACCAUUUCCCCAAAUCUUGGGGGUGUAGAUGUUCUUUUUCCUUUUCUAAUUCAUUACCCCCACACAACUACAGCAAACAACCAAAAUUUUGUGGGAUCUAUAGUUCAGGCAGAAGCGGCCGAAUGCUUCCGGGAACUCAGGCAGAUAGAACCUUGGUUGAUUUGUUUUUCUUCAUCUGAAAUUAUGCCUGAUGGCUAUCCUUUUAAUUGGUUUAAAUUCUUCUUUUUUCUUUGAGUUGUUGAUUUAUAGUGCCUUACAUGCAAAAUUCAAAAUUUCGGAUGAUGAUAAUCUUGUUUUAGAAGAGAUUUCUAGUUAUGGUAGCAGCAUUCUUGAUCGUGGCAUCACAAGCACAUGCUCUGGUUUGCUUAGUUUGCCUUUUGUCUCUGAUAUUUUCUUGGCAUUGUGGGAUAUUGUUUCUUUCUUUUUUUUUUUGGUUAUAGGAUUCGGAGAUAUUGUAUAUGUAUGACGAUGAUAUAAUAAAGUGCUUUUGAUAAAUUCACCUGGUCGGUUUACUUCACCAACCAUUAAUGAGCAAAUCCUCCCAGUGACCCUCAAACUCUUCUACACAAUUAUAAUAAUUUCAGUUUUAUAUAUAGAAAAAUGAACAGCUCUCAAAUAUAUUAUUUGAUAAUGACAAACAAAACAACUCACUCCAAUAAAUCUCGUAAUAAAUAAAUGGUCCAUAUUGCAAGUCUUUUUAGGACGCAUUCAAAAAGAAAACAUAAGGAAUGGCAUUGCAAGAAUAUGGAAUCAGAAUAACAGUGAUACAAAGAGAAAAAAAGGGGAUGGUCGGAUUGCUUUGUUUGCAAAAUUAUUGAUGCGGGGGUCUACUUGUUUUUAAUUCACUUUAUUAAUUAAUUAGCGAACCAAACAUGUAAUCAUUUGAAAAAGGAUCAUUGGCCCCAGCUUACAAAAGAUGAAUUUGUAAGACAUAUUAAUUUUGGUGAAAAUGUAGUGUUAUUAAGUUAUGAAUUCAUUAACUUAGAGGUAUUAAUAUUUACUUACGAUGGUGAUUAAUUUAUUUAACUUGUCAUAGUCUUCAAUUAACAAUGAAGUGAAAUCAAUUUAUGGAAAAAAAUAAUAAGUUUUUUACUUUUUAAGAUUUUAAUUCUUAGGAUUUCAUUUCGCUCUUUUUCGAUUAUUGACGUUGUCGAAGAAGGCAAUAAAAGCUUGUUGAAUUUCAUCAAAGGCUUGUAUCUCACCUCACAAAUUGGCAAUAUCGAUUGGCGUCUUUAUAGGUGAAGCCAUCACGAAUUUAUCACUCCUUUCAUAUGGAUACCCAUAAAUUUUAACCUUAUUUUAUUUUUGAUGCACAAUCUAACUUAACAAAAAUAGUAUUCAAAUUGUCACAAAAUGUUUUUUUUUUUUAAAUCAUAUACAAUAGUUAAUUUUUCUUCUUUUUUACUCCAGGAUCCAGCUCCAUACCCCUCUUUUUUGUCGUUGUCAUGCUCAGCCGUUAGAUUUUAAUUACGUUAACCUAACGGUUGGGAUUUGUAAAUGAAUAAUGAAGUUGUGUUUAGCUUCUAUUUGAGCCCAUUGCAUCUAAUUGGUUUUGUGGUUUUUUGUCUUUCUUCUCUGUAACGCUUGACUAGUUUUGAAAAUAUCGAUAGCCAUCGACUGGAAAUAUUAAAUGCACCGUUAUAUGGAUUUACGUUUCGCAAAUUGUGGCGCCAUGGCGGGAUGGUAAAAACUAUAAUCACGUGCCGUUAACAUUUACAUGGUUAAUGUCAUCGAGAUCACAUGGUUGUUAUUUAUGAAAAGAGAAUUGAUAGAAAUUUCGUUAAUCCACUAUUGCAACAAUAUAUUGUUAUAAAUUGCAUUGUUUCCCAUAUAACAAAUAUAAUAAAAUCUCGAUAAAUUAAUAGCUCUGGGACCAUGAAAUAAUUUAUUAAAAUUUAACGAAUAUUAAUUAUUCGAUAAAUAAAUAAAUUAUUAAUUUAUAAAAAUAUUUGUUAUUUUAGAAAAAUAUGAUGACGUUUAUAGUAUUUAUAUACCUUGAGUUGGAAUCUGUUAUGUUUUAUUUGAAUAAUACUUUUCUUUUAAGAAGAUUUUUUAAUAGUUAACUGCUUUAUAAUUUCAAACAAAGAAGUAGAUGAUAUUGACGUUGAAUAAUUUUCUGUCGCAAAACAACAAUACCAAUUAGGAUUUCUUUUCGCAUUACAAAAAGUCAAAGACGAGAUCUAAGUUAAAAUUAAUUUUAAAAAGAAGCAAACAAUGCUAAGAACGUAUUUUACACAAGCUAUAUGGACAUGUCAUAUGGAUUUCGUUUUUAUACUAGAUAAUUAUUAAUUUAUAUGAUAACAUAUUUCCUUCAAAUUAUAGUAUUUGAAUUUGAAAUUAUUUUUUUUAAAAAAAAAUCUAGGAUUACAAUAAUAGUCGUGAUUCGAUUGGUUUCGAUUUUUUAAGGAAAAAAAGUUGGGGAAAUAGACAAACAAGGAAGGAACAAGUUAAGCACAGCCAAUAAACAGGGGAAAGUGAAUGCUAUUGGUAAUGUCAAUAGCAUUGUUUCAUAUGAUGCACAAAUUACGUUUAUAACUUCUUUCAUAAUAUAAACACUCAUAAAUUUUACCCAAAUUAUCCAAAAAAAAAGAAGAAAAAAAUCAUGUAGUUAAUUUUUCUUCUUCUUUACUCCACUAUUCAACAAGAGUAUAAUAAAUUUUCUUCUUCUUUGCUCCAUUAUUCAAUAGGAGUAUAACAAACUAGGGAAAGGAGAAAUUAAGGAGAAAAUUAGGGUGAUUAUUGCAAUGAUAAGAACACAGGCAAGUGCUUAUUUCAGACACAUGCGUUGCAUUCAUUAAUUUGACCAAAAAUAAAUGAAUUUAUUUGUAUUUUAAUCAAAAUCGAGGGAUGUCAACAAAAUUGUUCCACUCCACGUAUUUAUCAUUUUCUCGUUAAGAAAAAAAAAUUUGCAUAAAGUUAAGAAACCAGUAGUCACUGAACGGGAGAAACAGAGUGAGGAGAGUUCAAAUUUCAAAAGAUGGAACCCGAAGAAGAAACCCUAACAACAAUCCUAGAAGAAGAAGAAUAUGAUGAUGAAGAUGCGGCCAUGCCCAAUGUUAAGCAAAACCUUAAAACAAAAACAAAAGACAACUCUUUGGACUCGAGCGAUGCCUCUGACUCCGACUCGGAUUCUGACUCAGAAGACGAAGCAAAACAGAACAUGGAGCUUCAAAACUAGAGUAUCAGCUAUCCAAUGAACCUUCCAAUUACGACACCCACGUUCAAGUAACUUCAAUACGCAUACUUAUUCCGUGAUUUUGUGGACACCCAUUUACUUGUUCUUUCUUAAUUGGUUAGCGAUAAAAAAUGGCUUUUUUUUCUUUAGUAUAUAAAGGUUUUGAGAAAAAUGGGUGAGAUAGAGAAGCUGAGACAAGCUAGGGAAGCGAUGAAAGAGAUUUUUUCCAUUGACUCCUGCUAGGUGGCAAGAAUGGGCGAGAGAUGAAGCCUCUAUUUCAACUGGGCCUCUGUCAUUUCCUUUUUGCAGUGGUUUUCGAGUUUUUGAACAAAUAUUUUUUCACUUAGAGAUAUAGAUGUUUAUGUUCGUCAUUUGCUAGUGUAAAAAGGAACAAAACCUGCUUAAAAGGUAUUAAAGAAAGAAAAAGAGAACCAAUUUGAAGAAGGGAAUACUUAUAGUGGGAGUUCUAUUCUUUGGGGUUUAAUUGAUGGGAGAAGAAACAACUUAUAUGUUUACAGAAUUAGACAUUUGAUUGCUGAGUUAGUUGAGUUGAGGAAGAUAAUUAAUCACAAUGUCUGAUGUUGUUUCUGUUGGCGUCAACUAAUUGUUAAGAUUUCAUACUUUCAUUCAACAAUGCAAUAGACUUUGGUUGGGUCCACCUUAGUUGGGUGUUCUGAGGAACCAAUGAGUGUCUUGAGAAAACUUGGGUGGAGUGUGGAUCAUUUUCAGGAUUCAGUUUCCAAGAAAGCAAAAAUGAAGUCGGAGUCGUAGUUUAAAUUAAUUUAUGUUUUUGUCUUUUUCUGUGAGCCCAGUGACUUUUGUUUUCACUUUGUUCUCUUUUGCUUCUUUCCCUCCUUUUCCUGCUGUUUCUUGACAAUCAAGCAGAUCAGGAUUAAGUGUUUACUUUUGGUGUAAUUAUUCACCCUAACUCGAAUAAUACAUAGGUUUAGUGCUAUCAAAAUAGGAAGUGAAUUAAUAUCUGAAGCUGACUUGGGAGUGGAAUGUGUGUUAGUAAAAAUAUGCUAUUAUGGUAGAUAGAAUUUGCAUUUUAGGUAAGACUAAAAUAAUUACCGCUGUUAAUUUAUUUCAAUAAGUUCGUACAUCAUUCGAUAAUAAGUCGAAGAUUUUAAUGGUUUUGUUUCCUGCAAAUUUGUCAUCAGUGCAUGGACAAAGUUCAAUGGAUGAACUUCUCUUAGUUAAUUCGAGUUCUGUAAGAAACACUAAUCUUGCCCUGUACUUUGGAGUAUUUUAAUAAUUGAUGUUAAGAUUUGCUAAUGUGAAAACGAAGAAAACCUGCUUAAAGGUAUUAAAGAAAGAAAAAGAGAACCAAUUUGGAGAAGGGAAUCCUUAUAGUGGGAGUUCUAUUCUUUGGGGUUUAAUUGAUGGGAGAAGAAACAGCUUAUAUGUUUACAGACAUAGACAUUUGAUUGCUGAGUUAGUUGAGGAAGAUAAUUAAUCACAAUGUUUGAUGUUGUUUCUGUUGGCCUCAGCUAAUUGUUAAGAUUUCAUACUUUUUUCUGGUUUUUCAUAACUGUGACCUAAAGCUUAAUGUAUACUUUGAUAAUUACAUAAUCGGUUUCUUGCUGAUAUUUGGCUUUAAUUUGUAGACCUGAGGCUCUUUUGGGAGUUGGGAAGAUUUACGAAAGAGGAGUUUCUGAUUAUCUGGUUUGUUCUCUUUAUGCCUACAGAAUUUGAAUUCACUGGUAAGCUUGAUUCACCUUGUUUUGAUUUACUACCAAGAGGUGUUAACAGUUCAUCAUGCACAAAAAGAGGUGGGGAAAAAAGAAAUCUUCUUGCUAUAUACAUAAAUUUAAUAGUUGAAUCAUUUUCAACCAAAGAAAUGUGCUGAAGAGCAGCAUUUUCGUUUAUAUCAAAGUUCAAUUGCAUCUUAUAUCAUCUGUUUCCAUCUCCUUUGUGGUAAAUAAAGUUCUUGAUAAUGACAAUAAGAAUCACAGAAGAAGUUGUUAAUUUCAUAUCUGGAGAUUUUCAUCAUAGUAGUUCAUUGAAAGUAAAGACAACUGAGUACUCCUUUUUCUGAUGCAGUCUGUCCCUCUUUGGUGUGUUUAUUCGAAAUUUGUGCAAGAAUAUGAUCCAUCUAUACGAGAAUGUGCCUAAUAAAAUAUCCCAAAGGUGCCUAAUACAGUGAAAUUAACAUAUUCAGCUCAUGAGAUUGCCGUUAUAUAUAUUGAAAAAGAAAUUAAUAUAAGAAACUGAAAAUUAAUUGACACUGGAUCAUGUUGGAUUGUCAGUUGUUAAUUAUGAUGGGAGUAUAAUCUUGGUCUUUUAAUUGUCAUCUAGGUAAUGCAUGUGCACUUUCAUUUGUGAGAGAGAAAAUAUUUGACAAUCACGAAAACAACAACAAUUCACUCCCAUAAACAACAUAAUAGAUACAUGGUCUAUAUUGCAAGUCCUUUUAUGAUUUUAAUUAAAAGAGAAAAUGCAAAGGACAUAUUAUAUAUAAUUGAAUGUUCUCCUUGAUAAUCAGUCAAAAUAACACCAAUCUGGCUAACUAAUACAAUCAUCAUAAUUAUCCAAUUUUCAUUUUAAUUAUGUCCAAUCAUGCUAAUUUAAUAAAUAACACUGAAGACAUGAGUAUUUAUAUGUUCAACGACUUUGGCUGAGUAUGAAAAAUAUAAAAGCUGCAUUUUUGCUUUGUGUUACUGUAGGACAUGACCAUAUUAUGUUGCAUUUGUCAGAAAACUGAAAAUUAUCGAAAAGGAUCCUAAAAGAGAUGUGUUGAAUUGUGAGCUUAAAAAUGAGUUUUAGAAGUUUCUGACAUGUCGGUUUGUAUCCUUGAUUGUGCACGCCCUGUUGGUUUCUGGAUGAAACAGGAGAAUAUGACAUCUGUGUAUUGUCUUUUACUUGCAGUAAGUGAAUCACAUGUUCUUCACAUGAUUUGACAUACUUUAUACGGAUUUAGCAGUUGUUUUGGUCACUUAUUGAAGCACGAGUUAAGCUCGUGAUUCAAGGUUGUUAACUGACCGUUGUAAGGCGGGAAAAUUCUGGGUUUCUUACAACAAACCCAGAAGGCAGCUGGUGAGUGUGAGAUGUUUCUAGAUUCUUCAUGAUCUGUAUAUAUAGUCUUAGAGGCUAUAGUUGAGCCAUAUGAAAAGCUUGCAACUUCUUAAUGUUUGUAGCUUGGUCUUGGUAAUUGCUUUGACGAGGGAAGUGAGCUAAAAUGAUAUCAACUUUUAUUUAUGGACAGGUUAAGAAAAUUUUUGAGUUCCUGAAAAAUGGCUUCCAUGAGAUCAGCAGUUCUUUGGAUUUAUCUUUCGAAUAUGAUUUGGUUGCUGAUGAGAAAAUUCCAUUCCUAGCUUAUCUUGCCAGUGUUCUAAAGGAGCAUUCCUUUUUCCCAUAUGAGCCACCAGCUGGAAGCAAAAGAUUCAGGAAUCUGAUUGCUGACUUCAUGAAAAUGUACCACCAUAUUCCACUAAAUGCUGAUGUGAGAAAACCUUCACCACUCAUCUGUUUUUUUACUUCUCUAGACAAGUAAUUUUUGUAUUGUCUGUCCUAGAUUCUGUUUUCCCUGAUGCAUUAUUUCAAUUUCUUUGCACGUGAAGUCCUAGGAUCUGUUUCCCCUGAUGCAUUAUUUCAAUUUCUUUGCAUGUGAACUUGGAGCAUUCAUAUUAGUUUAGGAGUGAAUCUAUUGGUCAUUUACUUGUUUGUAACAAAUAACAUAUGAAACAAUCUUGUUAUUUUUUAUUCUCCAUAUGUAGAGCUCUAUGGACCAAUCGCUUGUCUUCUGUUAUCCUCAUUAGAAUUUCUUCAGACUACUUCCACUUCAUGCUAUUUGUGAUAAUUUGUAUUGUUUUUGUGGUUUUUCGUAUGUCUGUUGGACAAAUACUGUAAUAUGAAAUUUUAUCUAAUGGUGUCCUUUAUUCCUUUUGCAUCCUGUCCCCUCUAGUAGUUAAAUGUAUUUUUGGAUUUGUCAAUUUAUUUGAUUUGAUGAAAUCUUGAUUCUCAUGUUAUCUAUCUGUUUAUCCAACUUGACCAUGGAAUGUGUUGUUGCUGUGAGUUACGCUGCACGUCCUUGUUAUUCGUCUAGUCUUUUUAUGUAAACAUACGGGUUUGGAUGUACUCGUAUAUAUACUGGACCUGAGAUAUUUGCACCUGACUUACUUAUUGAUGUAUGUGUAAAAUGAAGAACUUUUUGAGAUCUGGAAUGGAUCAAGACCUGCAAUUUUUAUUUGUAGAUUUUCCACUCUCCAUUUCAAUUAUAAAAGACAGUUUGUGAAUGCUGCAUGAAUAAGCUAGCCAAACUUAAAGAUGCUUAAUUGCCUCUUUCUCUUCUUUUGUAUACGAGUAAAACAAUCCACAUUCCUAACUUUUCUUCUCCACUUGUUUCUCAAGAAUGUUGUCUUUCCUUCAAGAGCUGUGUGGCAAUUGUGAAUGCUCUUCGAUUGUUUUCACCUCGCCUCAAACAUCUAACCAGACACUUACCGAAGCAAUGGUUAACAAGUUUAGCAAUCAAGGUAUGAUCUAUUUCUGAUUGAUUUUUGUGUUAUUUUUGACAUAGUUGAAGAUGUCAUUUUUUGGCAGAUUUUCUUUGCUAUUCUUGGAACAAGUAAUAGUGCUUAUUGCCUUGUUUGCACACAUACUAGUCUAAGACACAAGACAGAAGUUUUUGGAUGAUGAAAUAUCUGAUAUGAACUCAGCACAUUGUUUACCUGUUGCCUUUAUUCCUCAAGUGACAGUAAAAACUAGUAAUUGCAGUAGAUGAUAUAUUUAAUGAAAAUUACUGGGCAGCCAGACUUUUGUGUUGACAUUGAAGGGGGAGAUGGACAAAAGUCGAAGUAAUACAAUGAGUGCUGAGUUGGAACAUGUUAAUGCUCAUUUGUAAAAUGGGUGAGGAUCACAGUGCCAAAGCUUGCAGCCUAAGGUUAUCAACAUUGAUGAAGAGGCUAGUAAUUCUUCCGGUGAAGAUAUUAACGCCACGAAAGCUCAAUGUAAUUGAUUAAAUGAAGAAGUGCUUGCUUUGCUUGAUGUGCUAUUCGUUUAUGAUCUUUUCCUGGUUUUGUUGUGAGAUGUUUCUCUUUGGAUGUUCUGUUUAUUGUACUUUGAUGGGUUUUUGAAGAUGGCUUGUAUGUAUUAACAACAAUAAAGUGGUUUUUAUAAAUCCUAGUCCUACAGCACUAAAAGAAAUUAAUACGCUUGGUUUAUUGUUAAUAAAAAUAUAUAUUAAAAAAAGUCUUUUUCUUUGGCAUAUGUUAUUCAUUACAAAAAAAAAGUAUUAAUAUUCCUUGUGUCAUAUUAAUGUGUUAAUAUGAAGAUCUUUUAGAAUUAUAAUAGUUUUUAGAAUUAUAACAGUUUUGAUGAAUCCGAAUAUUCAAUAACUUAUAAAUUGUAUUUAUUUAAAUUAAUAGCGAUGACACAAAAAUAAUUAAUUCAAGAACUNNNNNNNNNNNNNNNNNNNNNNNNNNNNNNNNNNNNNNNNNNNNNNNNNNNNNNNNNNNNNNNNNNNNNNNNNNNNNNNNNNNNNNNNNNNNNNNNNNNNUAGGAAACUACUUUACUGUUCAACGCCAUUAAAAGAACAUAAUAACGUUGUUGCUUAGUUUGCUUAGCAAUAGGAAACUUCUAGUGCAGAUAUUGAGGCCACUAAAGUUGAAACGUAAUGAGAGAAAUAUAAUGUGUUUGCUUAGUUUGCUUUUCCUUUUUCAUAUUUGUUUUUCAUAUUUAAUUGGCUUUGUCGCGGGGUACUAUUUUCUCUUUUCAUUUUUUGUUUUCUCAUUGUUAGCCUAAAGGGCUAUACAUAAUGUAAUUUUGAUGAUAACAAACAUAUGUAUUGAGUGAUUUAAUAAAUAUUGUAUUUCACAUUUUUAUUAGUUUUUGAAGGAUAAUAUUUAUACAAGUAAAUCAAGUGAAAUCAAGAUUGAAGACACUCAACGGACAAUGGCGACAUCAAGAAUAGUUUAGAGCUCAACGAACAAAUUAGUGCAAUAAAUUCUUGUAAAGCCGGUAUGAUUUAAUUGAUGUUUGAUUUAGCAUUUGAGAAGCUCAAGAAAUUAAUUUAAUUAAAUAAUUUUCAUAAACUAAAAGUUUUUGUUUUUAUAAAGAAAAGUAUUUUGUGAAUUUAAGUAAUUUGGACUUAAAUGCUAAGAUUUGAAAUCUUUGAUUUUAAUAAGUAUUAAAUUUCGGAGUUGGACGUUUUUACAAACAUUUGAAAUGUUUUGGGCCAUACUAUAAUUUAUGAAUAUUUUGGACUAAAGUGAAAGAUUUUGAGAACUUUGAAAAAUAUAGGUAUUAUGUUGAAAAGGACCUUUGUGUGAAACAAGAAAAUCUUUGGGGCCAUAUCAUAAUUUCAGAAAGUUUGAGAAAGACAUCUAUUUUUAUGAAGUUCUGAAAUUGGACCUAUUUGUAAAGUUUUCUGACGUUUUGGUCCAUAGUAUAAUUAUAGAAAGUUUUGGGCUAAAGUGUAAUUUUAGUGAACAGUAGUACUGUAGCAAAAUUCAAAAAUAACGGUAAUAUUACUGUUCCUGAGCGGCUAGCCGGAUAAUCAAGCGGCUAACCGCUUGAGCGCUGGAAUUUGCCUAUAACGGCUAGUUUUUGGGCUUUCACUAUAAAAACUCAACUCAAACUUCAUUUUAAGAACUAACACAAGCAAAUAUAAGAUCAUAUAACAUAUAUUGAGCUUCCAUUUCGUAAAUCAUCAUUUGUUGAAUCAUCAUUGAGCUAUAAUUUGUUAUUCACUCUUAAAGAGAGUUUUAUUGUUGUGAAUUUCAUUUCUCAUCAAUUUGUGAGUGUACAAGUGUGGGAAACACUUGGGGUGAAGAGAUUGGGGAUAUAAUCUCUUGUUGUAAAGGUUCAUUGACACCUUGGAAGUCAAUUGUAAACAUUUGAAGCCUUGGGAGGCUUGGAUAGUGAAAUCCUCAAGCCGGGUGAGCUUGGAGGCGUGGACGUAGGCGGGGAUAGCCGAACCACGUAAAAAUCCUUGUGUUCGUUUUCUCUUCCCUUACUCUUUUAAUAUUGUACUUGAUUGAAUUUAUUGUUUUUGAUUUGAUUAAGGCGGUAGAUUAAAUUGUUGUGCGAAUUGUAUUGCAUAAAAUUUAAAAUCCCAAUUCACCCCCCCUCUUGGGUUGCAUAACUUGCAUUUCACUCAUAUCAUGUAAUAAAGUGCUUUUAGUAAAUCAUGGCCGGUUUACUAUUAAUUCAAUCAAAUUUAAUUUACUUUGGCUGUAAUAAAGUGCAUCAUAGUUAUUAUAAGCUGACGUUGUAUAACAAUAGAAAGAGCACCCAACAUCCCAAGAUCUUCCAGCAAAUUAAUGAGAUUACUCCUGUACACGAUCAAAAUAAUUACAAUUUCAUCGUAUGUAUAUGUCAAUACGUGUGUGUGUGUAUAGACACACGCUCGCAUACACAAAAUGUAAAUAAUUUUCAAAUAUUAAACAUUUAAAAUAGUCAGCAUAUUAACAAUUUACAAUUUAGAUUAUACGUAGACGAAAUAAUGGUAACAACAAUAAAGUACGUUUUAUAAAUCCUAGUCCUACAUUAGUAAAAGAAUUAAUGAGCUUGGUUUUUAUUAAUAAAAAUUAAAAAAAAUCUUUUUCUCCAGAGCUUAUUAUGAAUUUUAAGGAGGAAAAAAAAAGAGUCGUACUCCGAUUCAUAAAGAUAUUCCUUCUUUCUUCUUUCAUAUUUGAUGUGUUAAAUAUGAAGAUUCAUUCCAAUUAUAACAGUUUUUGAUGAAUCUAAAUAUUCAGUAACUGAUAAAUUAUAUUUAUAAAUAUUAUUAGCAAUGGCACAGAAACUAUUAAGUUAAAUUAAACAAUUUUGUAAUACAGUCCAGUCCUCGUGUGUUAAUAUUGUUACUCAUGAGGCAGCUAGUUAUCCCUUCGGUGUAAAUAAUUAACGUUCAUAUGCACAAUAUUUAAAAUAAUCACCAAACAACAAUUCACAAGUAAGAUUACACAGACGAAAUAAUGCUAAUCUAGCAAAUUCAAUCAUAAUAAUUUGAUUUUCAUUUAUAUUAAUUAUUUCCAAUCAUGCUAUUUUUAAAAAAGAACACUCCAGUGUUUAUAUAUCCAACAGGUAAAAUUUCAAAAUAAUAUUUGCCAAAGUCUGAUGAAGGGAAUAUACACACGCGCAUAUAUAAUCGUACAGCAGAAGGAUAAAUAAAAGAAAAUGAAGUUUCAACAACUGAAUAAUGCAUUUUGUUGUUUAAUUAAAAAGUUUCAACAACUGAAUAAAAGAAAAUGAAAACCCAUUGGCCUUAUGUACAUGAUAAAGAAUCACCGACACCGAACCAUAUUAAUUUAAAUUAGUUUUCAACUGAGAUUUCAAUUUUGAAAUUACAUACACAAGCACGCCCAAUUUUUUUUUUAAAAAGUAGUAAUUAUAAAAUAUUUCAACCAUCCUCUGUUCAGUCAUCAAAAAACCCAUUUAAAAUCUAUUACAACAUAAGGUAUGUGGGUUAACAAGUCCCAAUAUUGUCCUCCAUCCUUUCUGCACUUCUCUUCUAUCAACGGACAUCCCGCGAUGUUUAAUCGCAAAAGUGAGGAAGGCAGGCCCUUCUCCGGAAAGUAUUUGAGCUUGGGACAAUCCCCGAGAUCCAACUGAGUGAGGUUUUGAAGAUCAACAAUUGAAGAAGAUAGGCGUUCCAGACUUGGAAAACUGAAAAUUGUCAGAGACGUUAGAGAGGCAGGAAGAGGAAGCGCGGUCCCUAAUCUUUUGUCCUCUAGUGGAAAUGACACCAUGUCGUCAUCACAUCCUCUGAUUAUGAGUUCUCGCAGAGAGGAGAAUCUGUGAAAUCCCCGGCCCCGCUCAAUCAUUGACUUCCAAAUCUCCAUAUUACCCUCAAUCUUCAGAAAAUGAAGGUUGGUGGGAAGGCCAUCUUCUUCUUCAAGGCUUGGAAGCGCACCUCCUAUUGUUAAGUAUUGAAGAGUGCUCAGAUUGUGCAAUCCCUUGGGUAAGGCCUUUAGUCUCUUACAAUCAUAUAUCUUCAGCGUCCUGAGUUUCGCACAAGGCAAUCCCCCUUCGGGAAAGGACACCAGAUUUUCACAAUUACUAAUACUGAUUGUUUCAAGAGAUGUGUUGUUGUCCAACCUUUCUGCUAUUAACUCCAGCUUUGAACAAAAAUUAACACGAAGGGACUUAAGAGACGGAGGUAGAUUGCCAACUUCAAGGGACUCAAGCGUGGCAGGUAACUCGUUUUUUGAAAAUAUACAUGUCAAUGAUGGACAUUCCCAAAUAACUAAGUCCUCAAGAAGAUAUGAGGUGUACCUUCUGCUGCUGCUGCUGCUACACUGGAUGCCCUCUUCCACUGUCAAAGUCCUUAUAUUAUCGCAAUUGUAAAUAUCCAACUGCUUAAGGCUCGGUGGUAGCUGGACUUCAGCAAUAUAUGUCAACGAAUUGCAAUACAAAAUAAUCAAGAUCUCGAGAGACGAAUUGGUGUGGCACAUCCAUGCCUCUGGUAACGAUUUCAGUGCAUCACAAUAGCUAAUCUGAAUUUUCUUCAACUUGGAAGGCAGAGCAACCUCAGGAAAGGAAACAAGGGAACUGCACUUGCAGAUUUCUAUCUCUCUCAAGGAACUGAGGCUGAGCGAUGAUUGUGGCAGCUUCACAAGGCCUUCGCAAUUACUCAAUUUUAGAUAUUCAAGUCUGCAUGACAACUCGCAGAGCUGCUGUUGUUGGUCUUUCUCUUCCUCCGCGACCAAGGAUUGAAGUGUGGGACAGCUUGUAAUCACCAGUCUUUUGAGAGAGCAAAUGUCUUGCAGCAAUUCGUUAUGACUCUUCCAUAUAUAUGUUUCAUUUUUACUAUUACUUAUCCCCAAUUCUUCCAGUUUUGGUAUUCGCGGCUUCAAUGGCCCUGAGAGAAACACUUGAUUUGAUGUAUCUCUACAAACCACUGAAUUCUGUGAGCCGAGAUGAUCAGUUGCACUUCUCCACACAACCUUUUUACAUCCACCAAUUUCCAUUUUGCAAAGAGCUGGAAGACUCGUAAUUGAAAUUGACAAUUCUUCGCAUUCUUCAAUAACAAGCAUCUCCAAUGCAGGAAGGUGCUCUGGAAAUGUUCCUUGCAGUUUAGAACAUCUUAAAAUGUGAAGCUCUCUCAAUUUAGGAAACCGUUCAACUCCCUGACUGGAACCAUGAGGAAUCCACUCUUCCCAUUCUUGCAGGUCUUCAAAACGAAGAGUCUCCAAGCAUGGAAAUGGAAUUGGAGAGUCAUCCCCAUAGAACUCUGAACCCAAUCUCUUUACUCUACUCAUUCCAUGCACUGUAAGAUGCUUUAGAGAGGGCAGUUGCCCGACUGACGGCAGGGCAGUGCACAUGCCGCAAUCUUCAAAUUUAAGUGUUACUAAAUUUAAGAAUGAGGAAUCUCCUAACCAUGUUGGAAAUUUUGUACCUCCAUAGCCACAGAUACCAAAUUGUUCCAGAUUUUUAUGGGGUUUGAGCAUGUCAAGCACACCCGUUUCAGUUUCUGCCUCCCUUGAAGAUGAACCAUCGGUGCUGCAAGUCCAAUUAAGCGAUAAUUCUCUAAGAUUCUUCUUUCCAUCCAACCGAGCCUCCUUUGCAUCACCAUCGUCUUUUACAUUCUCUAAUUUUGAAAUUUUAAGUGUCCCCUGAAGAUGUAUCAAUGACUUUAGCUUUCGUAACCCAGAACCAUUGUCUUUUCCCACAGCAAAAUUACCCAGCGUUUGAAGACAAGUCAGCUUACCAAUUCCUAGUGGCAUUUCCUCCAAGGAAUCUGUAUUUGAAUUAUUGAGAUGAUGCAAUUUGAUGAGAUUUCCCAUGUCUGCACACAACUUCUUCAGUCGUCGACAGCCCUCCAACAGAAGGGUGUGCAAGUUGUAAAGCUUGCUGACUGAUUCAGGCAGAGUUUUAAUCUCAGUUCCAGACAGGUUAAGGUGCCUUAAAUACCUCAAAUCACCAACUGAAUCCGGCAGCUCGGCGAUGAGAUAUCCACGCAGAGAGAAGACCCUCAAGCGUUGGAGUUUGAACAACCUAGGAAGAAUGCUACAAGCCAAGUAUCCAGGCCAGCUACUUAACGACGUUACUGGUAAAAGAGUUCGCAAGUGUUGGAUAUCGUACAAGUCCUCAAACCUUUUAACGCCAUCAUAAUCUCCACGAAUGUACGACAGAUGACGAAGAUUUCUAGAAAAACAUUGUUGCAUGUUAACCUCCGAGGUAUACUCCAGUGUGAAGUAUGUCUCCCCUGCAGCCCAACGGGCAAGGUCGUUGAUAAGAUCGUGCAUAACAAAUCGUGAUAUACUGUUGCUCGAUUGCUGGAAAAAAGAUCUUCCACGUAGCUCUUGAAAGAACUUUCGACCGAGAUCUUCACUAGGAUUCCCACUCUCUCCGUGAUCCAGGAAACCCACAGCACUCCAUAAUAAAAUUAUCUCCCCCUCUUCAAAUUCAUAAUCCUUUGGAAACAAUGAGCAAUACGCAAAGCAUUGUUUCAAAGGUGCCGAAAGAUAAUAGUAGCUCACUCUCAGCGCCGGCAUAAUGUCACAUCUCUCUUCUUGCAAUUCCCAUAUCUUGGUACUGAGCACUCUCUCCCAAUCACAUCUGUCAUAUUUUCCUCGCAAAAGUCCUCCAAGUGUUUGCGCUGCCAGGGGCAAGCCAUCGCAUUUGGCCACUAUCUUCUUGCCAAUUUCCUCCAAUAACUUAUUUGACCCCAAAGAAUGUUGAGCAAAUACAGCUAGACAAUCAUCAAUUGACAACUUUUUUAAUUGAUAAGCUGAGGCAGUUCCCAUGAUGUCUGCAACCUCUUGAUUACGAGUUGUGACAAUAAUCUUACUUCCCUUCGCUCCAGCUUCAAACGGACGGCUGAGGCGAACCCAAUCAUUGUAAUUCUCAUUCCAAACGUCGUCUAAAACAAGCAAAAAUUUCUUUCCAGAUAACUUCUUCUUCAGCUCCUCUUGAAGCAAAUUUAAAUCACUGUCAUCAAUAGUCUGCUUGGUAACGGAUCUUAGAAUUGUUUUUGUUAGCCCCUUAACAUCGAAAUCCUCAGAGACACAAGUCCAUGCCUUGGGAUCAAAAUGAUCCUGCACUCGCUUAUCAUUGUAGACAAGCUGAGCAAGAGUAGUUUUGCCCAGCCCGCCCAUACCUAUAAUAGGAAUAACAGAGAAUCCACCAUCGUUGCUUAAAUCAUCCCUCAACAGCAGUUCAACAACAUCCUUCUUUUCUGUUUCCCUGCCAUAGACGUUGGCUCCAGUCACUAAAGAGGUUGUCUCUAGCCUUUGACUGGCUUUUUUGGACCCUCCAGCUGAACUUACGUUCAAACCCAGCGAGUCUUUCUGUGUCACAAUUUCUUGAAAUCUGUCGUUGAUCUCUUUGAUUUUGGACAUCAAGGCAUAAU
rnacentral:lncRNA from 1 species